AAAGCUAAAUAAAUUUAUACAUACUGAAAUACAGUAAGCCAAAAUAUUUAAUUUAAUUUACAAUAACAAGAGGGCCCCCGAAUAAACAAAAGUAAAGAGGACUGUGAACCUACGGUUUGGAAAAUGCAGAUCCAAUGGUAGUCCUCGAUGAGAUCAGCUAUCUACAGUCUAUACUGAACCUGAAAUGGGUGGAAAGGAGUUGGGUGAGAUUUUGCAAUCCCAAUGAGUAAACAGACAUUAUCAUAAAUAUCUAAAGGCGAGUAAAAUGGAGGCAAGUUUAAACAACAAAUUUCAACCCAUUUCAUAAUGUUUUCAAUUUAUUUCUUAAACCAUAAAAUAUUUGUAAUUUACCAAAACAGUUGUUAAGGCUUAUGUCUUUUAUUAAAACAAGGCUCAAGCCAAAACUAAUCCUCGGGGAUACCUUGGCCGAGGCAUCUAACCGAGUCCGCCAAGGGUGUUAAAAUAUUCACACGUGAAACACAUUUUUAUUUUUAAAACCAGCCGUUCCUUGGCGUUGGCCGAGUUACACAUUCACGUGGGGGUUCGACGUGAAGUGAGCUCUAAUACUACCCCAGGAGUUACCCUCCUCGCCUCUACAACCGGAGUAACUAUAUAACUGGGUUUACCGUGCCCCUCUAAUAGGCAGUCCACGGAAACCCGUCACUGCAGUGACUAACCCACCAAUUUUAAUAAAAUUUCGACAGUAUAACGUGGCUUUUAUUUAUUUAUCCAGCCUGCAUAGUAAAAACAACUUACAUAAAUUUCCCAAUGCACUCACAAAAUAUAGCCACAUAUACUCAUUUCUCAUAAGCCAUUCCUAGGAAAAUAUAUAUUUUUCAAGUCAAUUUGCAGCCUCCAAUUACUCAAUUUCAUAAUCAAUACAAUAUAUUUUUAUUUGUCACAUUUAUUCCUAAAACAUCAAAAAUCCCGUUUUAAUCUCGUUUUCAUUUCAUAAAAUACAUAAAGGGCAUUUAAAAAUAAACUCUAGAUAAUUUACAAUAAUAAUAAGUUUACUCACCGUUUGUACAAACUAAAAGCUUUCUAAGCGCCCCGAUCACUACUCGUCGGGUACGACUUCUUUGCCUUUUCCGGAAGGCUCUCCUCCUAGACACAUUACAAAAAUUUACACAAUUCAUCACAUUGAUGCUAAAUCACUAUAUAAUUAACUUAAAUCCUAUACUAAUGCAUGGUAUGAAAUGCAAUAGCCUAAAACGGCUUAAACGCGGUAUUAACCUAUUUUUGGCACUUUGCCCGAUAAAUUGCUAACGCGCUCCAUUUUAGCUCUAAAUCAUCCCAUUCUCUCUCCAACAUUUCUAACCAUUAAAUAUCAGCCAAUAACCUUCUAAAAACAACAAAAUCAGCUCACUCCCUUCCUUGGAAAAUUCGGCCAAAAAUGGGACAUUAACUCGGUUAAUUUUCUACUUUGUUUUUCUAUCACGUUUAAUCGUUUUUCAUCAUUUUCUCUUCAUUUUCCUUAGAAUAAAAUCAAUUCAUCAUCAUUGUACAGCAUUGAGCAUCCAGCCAAGAGUGGGUAUUGUGAAAAUUUAAUGAUUUCUUGCCCAAUUUAAUUUCUAAACACAUUUAACUAACUAAAACUAUCAAUUUAACUAAAAAUCAAAACCUAAAAAUUUCAAUUUCUCUCCCCUAGAAUUUCGUCCAGCCCUUGAUAUCACUUUUUGAUCUCUCUCCUCAAGCAUGCUAAAUGGAAAUAAAGGCAUAGGAAAGGUAGAAAUCAAGCUAAAAUCGAAAAAUCUUACCGUUAGACGCGUAAACGGUCGAAAACCGCGAAUUUCCCUUUGAAUUUUCUUGUUUCUCUUUGGUUUUUCUUUUUUUCUUCCUUUCCUCUCUAUUUCCUCUCUUUUUCUUCCUUAUGGCCGGCCAGCACUCAAAAUUUGGGUUUAAAUGGCUGACUUUUCAUUAAAAUAAUAUUAUUUCAUUUAAAAAAAUGCCACGUGUCACUUUCCCAUUGGCCCAUUUUUAAAAUUUCAUCCAUUUGUUUCCAAAUUUUCACCAUACACUUGUCUCAUAUAUUCAUAGCUUAGAUAAAAUUCUCAGACUCAUCCAAAGUCUCGGUGGAGUAAUUUUUAAAAUUUACACUUUUGCCCCCGUAAAAGUCAAAAAUUACAUUUUUGCCCCAAAAAUUGAAAAAUUGCCCAUAGACAUAUUUUUCAUCCCUUAUACUCAUACCAUUCUCCAAUUUGUCAAAUUUGAUCUAAAUUCUCUCAAAAUCUCAAAUUUUGUCCGUGGGUGGCAAAAUUACGAUUUUGCCCCUACACUCCAAAAAUCACCAGAAUUAAACUUUUUCACUUCCUAUCAUUAAAUUAUACUCCAAAUAGUUAAUCUUGGUCAAAAAUUUCACUCCAUGAUCAAAUUAUUAUCUUAGGUGGCAAAAUGACGAUUUUGCCCUUGAACAUCAAAAUUUCCAAUUUUACCCCAAAUGAACCCUCGAACUCCGAACAAUCAUUUUUUUCAUUCCUGGACUAUAAAAUAUUAAAUUUCAUCAUACAAUUCCUAUUUGAACUAGUUCGAGGUUAAAUCAACUCAAGUGUACCGUUAGGUACGAUAUCGGGUUUCGUCUUUUCUUAUCUGCUUUCCUAGCAUAAUAACAUGCUACUCAGUGCAUGUAUGUCAUGACAUGUAUUUAUAGGGUUGGGUUUUACAUAAAACUUCUUGGAAUUGAAUUUUUUCAUUUUGGCUCCUUUCAACAGUCAUCUUCACUUUGAAUUUAAACUUCAGCGCUUCAAAUCUGAAGCUUUAACUGAUUAACCACUUUGCUUAACCUGUUAGCAAACUUCUAUUUUUAACUUCUGUAUUUAGCUUGCAACACCUUCUUAAUAGGUAAAGCCUGGUGCGAAUCGAUUAAGACUUUUCUGCAUUUCUUUUAUACAUCACCCAAUUAAGCCUUAACUGGUUAAGGCUCCUCCUUAAUUAGUUAAUGAGGUUCCGUUUUCACUAAAUAUUUUCUUCUUUCUCACUUUAAUUAAUUAACUAUCUUUUAAUUCCACUUGCCUUUAAUCACCAAUUUUAUUAGGGAAAUUAACUUUAUCUUGCACACUCAAAUAGUGAAGUUAGACAUUAAUCAAUAAGGAAUCUUUUGUUAUCAUAAAAAACAUAUAAAGUCAACAAUCUCUUUCUUUUAUUUUUUUUUAUGACAAAAUACCCCUAGAUUAAGAGUGCAAUGUCUAUGUUCAGUAUAAAUACUUUAAAUUUUUGUGCAUAAUUAGGAUUGUUCCCCUUUAGUUAAUGCAUCUAGUUUUCUUUAAAGAUUUGCAAUAAAAUAUUUAUAAUGUUCGUAGUAGCUAAACAAGAUAUACAAUAUCCAUAGUAGCUAAGCAAGAUAUAUUGAAUAUCCAUAAUAACUAGCACAAAAUAUUCAACACAACAUAACUAAGCAUCACACACUUAAAUUAAACUUAAAGACCUAUCAGACUCUAUUUAACUUAGUCUUCAUUCUCUCUUUUUUUGUCAUCAUUAAAAAAGAUAUUCAAAACUCCCCCUUAAUUAGUGCAUUUAAAUUUUUCUUUAAUCUUUGAAUUAGACUUUAAUGAAUGGGAAUCAUAAGCACUCAUACAACUAAGUCAUACAAGCUUAUAGAUGUAGUUCAAUACAAAUAGAGAUAUGUUUAUUAAACGUAUAAUACGACACAACACGUUUAACAUGUUUAAUAGAUGGUUCGAGUUAAAUUUUAUAUGACAUAACACAAUUUACAAUCUGUUUAAUCGAUUAACACAAUUAAAUAAAAUGCAUACAAUUAUAAAUCAAAUAUAACUUUAUCACCCAAAUUUAAAACUAAUAAUUGUAAAAAUGAUUAUAACAAAAUAAUAACAUCCAUCAAACAUAAUAACACUUACCAUCAUCAUCAACCAACCAUGAUAAAAUCCAUCUCCAUCAUCAUUAACCAUAAUAAAAUAAAGUAGUUAUAUGGAGGUUUAAACAGGUCAUAAUUGGGUUAUAUAUGUGUUGAGUAGACAAAUUUACACGAUUAAUUAAAUAGGUAAUAAAAGGUAAUGAGUUAUUCGGGUACACUUUAACAUGAUUAACUAAACAAAUCUUAAACAGGUUAAGUGGGUUUGACAUGUUUAAACUAUGAAUUUUUUUGUAUCUUAAUCUAGUCAACACGAUUAAAAUAAGAAACCUAAUUACCCUUAACCCAAACUGAUUAACUAAUUAAUAUGGAGUCUUAUUCAGUUAUGGUAAAGCUAGCGCUAUACAAAAGCAAGACAAAAAAGCCUUAAUUAGUUGGCACAAGACUUAACUGAUUAAGAAGGUGCAAAAAGCGAAACAUAGAAGCUCGCUAAUCGAUUAAGCGAAGUGGCUAAUUGGUUAAGGCUCAAACUUGAAGCACCUAGAAAUGCCCAAACUCAAAUGCAAAGUGAUGUUAAUUGUCCAAAGGUGCCAAACCAAAAGAUUCAAAGUUGAAGAAUUCUUUAUUGGUCAGAGCCCAUUUUAAUUAGUUAAAGAUGAAAGGAAAAAGGCCUUAAUCAGUUAGUAAGAGCUUUAAUUAGUUAAAGGAUGAUUGAUAAAAAACAGUGUUUAAAGGUGAUUGAAAACAAAAAGUUAUUAAUCAGUUAAAGCAGCUAUUAACUAAUUAACACAAUGAAACAAUUUGCAAGUUCAAGAAGGCUUAAUCGAUUAAAACCUACCUUUAAUCGGUUAAUAAAGCACUGUCAAUAGAUUUGAAGUUAAGCACGAUAGGACAAAAUAACGACCAGAAACUGUUUAUAAUGGCUAAUUUCUGUUUCCAACAGCCAAAAGUGAUUUUUCAAGUAUUUAACGCCUCUCCAACCAUCAAAAAUCAAUGAGAGAAGUUCUAAAAAGUUUGAAAGAGCUUAGAAGAGCAAAAACCUUCUCUUUUACACUUGUAUUCCACUCAUAUCUUGGUGAAAGUGUUUCAGUUGAAGCUUGUACUACUUAAAUCAAUUAAGUGAUUAUUUGUACCUCCUUCUUUAUCUUUUUAUUUCUUGUUUACUUAGAGUGUUUGAGGCACUCUAAAGGGUAGUCUAAGUUAGGGUAAACUUAGUACUUGUUGUAAAAGGGUUGGAGUUUGGAUUAGAAGUUCACCUUGUAAAAGCUUGGUGAAAGAUGUUAUUUUAAUUGGUUCUGAUGAAGUUGGGUUGAAAAACCUUGAUUGGGAAAAUCAAGAUAAUAGAUAUAGGUCAUGUAGACCAAACCACUAUAAUAUUGUAUUUUGUCCACUUCUCUUAACCUCUCUUUUCUUGGUGUUAGCUAACCUCAAUAAGUUUUUAAAUCAUCCAUCUUAUAUCUUCCAAACGGAUUUUAAAUUUCAAGCGUUACCUCAAAAAUAUAUUUAAAUACUAUUAAGCUCCCCUCUAGCACUUCUUUUGAUACUAGUAGUCUAAACAGACCCUAAGUCUUCACUUUUAUUUGGUGUAAUCAAGUCUUCAAAAGCUAUCAACAUAUUAAACUCGUCCUUUUCCCUUCAUUAGAGAAUUGACAAACUCAUUUAACCUCAAGUUUUCAUUACGGUAAAAUGAAAAAUUAAGCCCUUAAAGUAAAUUGACCUAUUUGGUAAACUAUUUUUUUUGAAUAAACAUAUAAAAUAUGUCUUAAGAAUUUCCUUUUCCUAUUAGGUUAAUGAAUGGUAAUUUAAAUUUCUACCUUUAGAUGUCACAAAAGAAGUUUGUUUUCUCGCAAUAAGUAAGAGAUGUUUGGUUAAUUAUCCAUUUUAUAUUCAAAUUGUAAUCAAAUGUUUGAUGUAAUACUUAAAGUUUAAAAAUAUGUAAGUAUUCAAACUUUUAAUUUUUCAAAAAAAAAAAGGUAUUCAAAGCUCAUAAAUUUGAAAUGAAAAAACAAAAAAAACAAUUAAAAAAUUAUAUCUAGUUUAAUUAGAAUAUUAUUAUUUAAUGUUUUUAGAUUUUUUUACAGUUCAAAAUUAAGAGUUUUUUUGAAUUGUUAAUAAAAUAGUCCUAAAUAAUUUAUUUCUUUUUUUUAAUUUUCCUUUUUUCUUAUAUCUUUUUUUUUUAUUUUUUAAGUUGAUAAACAUUGAAUAGAAAAUAUUUUUAUUAUUACUAAAUUAAAUUAGAUUAUGAUAUUCUUUGUAUUUGUUAUUUUUUCAAUUAUUUGAGGAUAAUUAAGACUUUUCAUACCUAUAAAUAAUUGUUGAUGGUGAUAAAUAAUUAAUAAGUCAAAUAAUACAUUUGAAACAAGAAGGACCAAAACGUGCUUUAGUGUAUUAAAAGAAGAUUUUGUAUUUCACCGGCAUUCGCACUGACAGCACAUUUCAAUAGCUCAUAUAACUUUGAAACUUACUUGGGCUUUCUUGAGUCUGGUUUAAAUACCAAAAAUACACUCAAAUAUGGUCAAUCAUAUAAUUGGGCUUGUACUAAAUCUUGGUUUAGCAGAAAUUUGGGCCGAAAUUGUACUGAAAUGUGGGGAUAACCCACCCAUGCAUUUUUUUGUUUUUGGAAGAGGUUAACAGAUAUCAAUGAUUGAUUGGCUUCUUUCAAUUCAAAAAUUAAUAGUAUCAAGAAGGUCAAAUUAAUUGGAAUAUUUGUCGUCUCAACUGAAUUACAAAAGUCAUUAUAUUAAAAUUGAAUUUUGGUUUCCGUUUUCUUCGACAUAAAUUUUAAAAGUCGUUUUAAUUAUGCUCUUUUUACGAUUUUAACAGUAUUUGUUUAGAUUUAAUUGUAUUAUAUAACAUUUUGAAAAUAUUUUAAAUGAAAUGUUGCUAACAAUGUUUAUACUUUAUUAAUCGUUGUUAAAGGCGAAAAAAAUGUAACCAAAAAUUUAAAUUACAGUAAUUGUUGUUAAAGGGGUAAAAGCCAAAUACUCUCCUCCAAUCAUUCUAAAAAGACAGUUUAAUUUUUUAUUUUAAAAUAAUAUUUUUGGCCUUUUGACUAUUAACAUUGUUAUUAACAAUUAAAAAAAAUUAGGACUUAACAUCACAUAAAUAUUUUAAGACACAAAUGACUCUUAUAUCAUUUUCUUUCAAUUUAGGCAUAUUCUUUUUGAAAAAAAAAAAUCUGCUCAUCCUCUUCCAAAAACCUUGAUCAGAAAAAAAUAGUUAAUCGUUAAAAAUAGGAUUUUGAACACAAAAAAAAAAAAGAUAAAAAACUAAAAAAAAAUAAAAGAAGAAAAGAAAUGAAAGACCUUGACAGAUACAUCUUCCAUGGGAUUGAUGUUAGUGAAUUUUAUCCUCUUUAAAUGGUAGAAGCCAAGAAAUAUCAAUAACUUUUUCGUAUUUUUUUUCCUUUCUAAUCAAAAUUCCUUUAGUUAAAAAAACUAAAGUUUUGAUUUGUCAAAUCAAAACACUAGUAAUUUUCGUCUCUUUCUCUAUUAUUUAGGUAGCAGGUUUGAUUUGUCUAUGGGUGGAUGUUGGAUUUAUAUGAUCUUAUUGCAAGUUCUUUUUGUGGCUGGGGGUUCAAUUCUUGUAAUUUUUUAAAUCUGAUGGGAUUUUUUAUAUUGGUGGAAAGAGGCUUUAUUGAUAUUACAGAAGAUUUAAGGGUCUAGAUAACAAGUGGUCUUGUUAGUGAAUGGUAUUGUGUAUGUUGUUAUUAGGUUUGAAUUUAAUAAUCAUUUAAUUGUGAUGACGAUGGGUUUUUGUAUUGACACAAAUAAUAAGGGGUGUGAUAAUCUUCCUGUAAAUCACUCUAAGCUUGAGUAUCCUUUUUGCAAGGCAACCCAACACUCAUGCUGGUUCAAAUUUAUGUAGUUUUUGUAAGGGGUUGUAGGUUGUUGUGCAAAGUCUUCAAACUAAAUUGAGGAAAACUUGAAACAGCACUUUGUAGCUUCUCCCCAUAUAAAUACAAUGAUCUUAUCUAAAAAAAUAGCUAAAGUUGUGAGAAAAAGAAAAAGAAAAAGAAAUCAAAAUCCAAAGAGAAAAGAGAAAAUUCUUCUAGUUAUAAGAAAAAAAAAAGGAAUUCAAAGAAUGAGUGUUAAUUAUUACAAAAUUCUUCAUAUGGACUGAAAUGCAAAAGAUGAAAAUUUGAAGAAAGAGUAUCAAAAUUCCUUCAAUUUUUUUUAUUAAGGUUUUUGGAAAAGAAAAUAGAUAACAUGUUUCUUUUAUAAAAGAGGAUAUUCGUGUUUGAAAUAUUUAUGUAAUAUUGAAUUGAAUUUUUUUUAAUUGUUAACAAUAAUGUUAACAAUCAAAGGACCAAAAGUAUCAUUUUAAAAUAAGAAAGGGGAAAGUGUCUUUUUACAAUGAUUGGAGGAGGUUUUUAGAUUUUACCCCCAAAUAAGUGUAUCUAAAGUCAAAGUUUAUUGUUGUGAGUUAAUUUUAUGGCUUUUAUCAACUAUAAUAAGUACUAGUAUAGGUGCUAUAUAUAGUAAUAUUUUUAGCUUAAAUAGAAUAGUUGAUAACAAAUGUGAUAAAUUCUAAUACAUAUGGUAAAGAUAUCAUUUUAUAAGUUAUAUUGCUUGCCUCCACAAUUUUAUCUCAAUUUUUAUCUAACUAGCUGUAACAAAAAUUUAUUGGACAACUUCAAGAAUGGGAUCUAAAAGUCAACAGUUAAUGCAUGUUUAAGUAACCAAUAGAUCUUAGUUAUAUUAGGUGAGACAAACAAUUGGCAUAAAAAUGUUGGAACAAAUAAUAUAUUUCUCAUUUUACUUAAAGGAAAUGUUAGGUGAUAUUUAUAGAAAAAAAAUUGUAAUUAGUAUAUUAUCUUUUAUUUUUGAAUUGGUUAUAAAAAAACAUUAAAUGAAAGUAUUUUGUAAAAUAAAAAUUUAACUAAUCUUAACAAGUACUGCCUAUAAGCACUCAUUAAUACGAUCUUUCACAAUCUUAAAAAAACUCAAACUUUUAUCUUCGAAGUAGAAGUUGUUUAUUUCAUCAAACAAUUAUUUCUAUUUCAUUACUAUCAAUUGUUUUUCAAACUUCAAACUAAAUAUAGCAUUAUAACCAAUGACGGAGCCAGAAUUUCAUGUUCGCGAGGUAAAAAUAAUGUCUAUAAAAUAGUCAUAUUAGAAAUUCAAUGUUUGUAAGGACAAAAUUAUAAAAUUAAAAGAAAAAGUGGUCAAAACUAUAAAAUUUAAAAAAAAGCAAGGGAAAAUUAUAAAAUUUUAAAACUUUUGAGGGAGUAAAGUGUCAUGGACCCACAUUUCUAACACAAAAGAAAUACCUUAUAGGUGGUGGAAGGUCCAUGUUUAUAUACCCAAAACUCACCCCAUCUCUUAUUGAUGCGGGAUUCGUAACAUUCUAUCUCACCCAAUGGUGCAACGCCCUCAUUGUAUUGGCUCUUUACCCAUAGAGGAAGGGGAUUCUUACACUAGUCUAGGUCUACAUUGUCACGACCCGGUACUCCCUUCGAGCCCAUGACAUUCGUCGUGAUGUCUCGAUAGACAUUCAUUACUCGGAAUUUCAACCAAAACCUUGCAAGGCUCUCGCAUCAAUUUUGCAUCUCCCAUGUGAGCAGUAGUUACUAAAUAUCAUGUUUUUUGGGAAUAUAAACUAUUUUGAAGUCAAAACAAAUAAAAAAAUAAUUUUUAUCACACAGGGGUAUUUUGGUCAUUUUUACCCAAAAAUUUUGAAACUUGGUAAAAAUACAGCAUACGAUCGAAAUAUAUACAUUGCUUAUUUAAAAAUAAUUUUAGUAAUCUAAUUCAUCCAUUUAAAAUAAAGUUUUGGCUAAUCAAACUAAAUAAAAAUAUUAAAUAAAAUAUUUCAUUUUCUUAUAAAACAAUAUUUAUAGAACUCUGCGUAAAUAAUUUUUGUAACGUAAAAGUAAAAAAAAUUCAUACAUACAGUGGCACACGCAGCCAGGUAUACAAAAGAUUCUACAAUGACAUGUGGGCCCUCAAAAUAAACAAAUAUGUACAAGAAGGUAGACCUUUGAUUUCUAAGGAUGUAAAUCCUAAAGUAGAUCAUCGACGAAAUCAGCUAUCUACAGAUUAUCCUGAGCUUGAAAUAGGUGAAAAGAAAGGGUGAGUUUUUAUAAACCCAGUGACUAAGCAAAAGUUCAUCUAUAAUAUCUAAAGCCAAGUAAAUGGAGACAGUUAAAUCAUCAAAUCAUAAUAUAGUUCAUAACAUUCAAAACUCAUUUCAAUUCCUAUAAAACAAUUACAUUUCAUCAAAAUAAUCAACAAGGCUUAUGAUUAUCUUAAAACCAUAUAUUAAAACAUAUAUCAAAACACGAGUAUAUAGUCUCCACUUACUCAAUUUCCAAAACCAGUAUUCAGUCUCAAAACAAGUUAUAAAACUCAUUUCAUUUAACCAACACUUAUGUUUUAAAACGUAAUAAUUUACCAUUUAAACUCAUUAUUCUUUAAAACAUAAAAACGAGUAGAAACAACUUUAGAUAGUUAAGAUGAAAGUCUGUUACUCACAAUAGCAGGAGUUUAGAGUACUCAUAUUCUUGGUCCUCGGGCACAAUAUCUUUACCCUUAUCAAAGAGCUCACCACCUAUACAUAAUACACAACACGUAAUUCAAUAUAUUUGUGCCAAACUAUUAUAAAACUAUUUCAGGCUCUAUAUGAAUGCAUGACAUUGAAUGAGAAUUGUCCGAAUAAUCACUUAAAGACGGUGUUCUACAUGGGUUCAAUUAUGAUCGGAUUGAAUUGGCAUUCGACCUAACUUGCACUAUGCCUUGUUUAAUUAGCCAAAACAUCCAAUUCAACUCCAAAUAUCUUCAUUACACUUCCAAUAUUCCAAAUACACUAAAGUACCUCAAUGAGCUUAAUUGUGACUCAAUUCACCGUAAUCGAAAUUCAUUUCGAUUUCGAUAUCCGAUACCAUAAAUCAUCAAUUCCUAGCUAAAUAACAUGAUUUACAACCAAAUCCAUCAUCAACAUGCCCUAUGGAAAAUUCGGCCAAAUGAGGGUGGUUGAAGAACAUGUGAUUUUCUUGCUUGUUUUUCCUUCCAAACAUCACAAAAUGACUAAAAACACUAGGAUAUUAUGAAAAAUCUAGCAAAAUUCAUCACCAAAACUUCUCUCUCUAGAUUUGGCCAGCAAAGGUUUCCUCUUGGAAACUUGAAUUUCAGCCAUGGAGAAUGAAAAAGAAUGCAUGGGAAAGGUAGAUCACAACCUAAAAUUAAAAAAUCUUACCUUUACUUGCUUGAUUCCUUAAAAUCCAAAUAUUUCUCUUGAAUUUUUAUUUCCUAGGGUUUGUUCUUCUCUUUUACUCUUUGUUCCCUUGCUUGGCCGGCCAUAAGAGUGUGAAUGUGAAGGUUUUAAGUGAGUUUAUAUAGGCAUUUAAAAUAAUAUUAAAGCUUGACACUUGUCACCUUUUAAUUGAUCCAUGUUUAAAAACUUAAUAAUUAAGCAUUCCAUUCCCACCACAUAUAAUCUCUCACUUAAAAAAAUAAUGGGUGAAAUUCAUGGAUUUGACAGUGUCAUGGUGGUCUAAAAUUCUAAAAAAAUUCCAAUUACGUCCCUGUGGACGCGUAAAAUGACCGUUUUGCCCCUAUGUUCGGAAAAAUAUCGAAAUUAAAAUUUUUCACUUCUCAAAUUCAAAUUAUGCUCUAAUUAAUCAAAUUUAGUCAAAAUAUCAUCCAACAUUCUAAUUUUACCCUUGAGUGGCAAAAUGACCAUUUUGCCCUUAUGUUAUGAAAAUUCUCGAAUUAAUUCCAAAUCAAUCCUCGAACUCCGAAUCACCAUAUUAAGACAUUCUAAGGUUCAAUAACUCUCAAAUACAUCCUAAAAUCUCUAUUCAAACUAGUUCGAGGUUUUAAUCGACUUAAUUGUAGCACUAGGUACGAUACCGACUUUUAACAAUUCUCCGAUACAUUCACUUAUGCAAACAUUCUAUCAAGCACAUGAAUGACAUGACAAGUAUAUAAUAGAGUAGGGCUUGAUAGCACUACCCUCCUUAAAAUAAAAUUUUGACCUCCAAAUUUCACUUACCGGACUCGGAGAAAAGAUGCGGGUAUUGGUUUCUUAUCUGGUGCUCAACUUCCCACGUCAUCUCCUCCAUCUGAGCAUUUUUCCACAACACCUUAACCAUUGGAAUGUUCUUAUUGCUCAACACUCGAUCCUUUCGAUCUAGAAUACGUACAGGUUGCACCUCAAACUUCAAAUCUUCUUGUAACUCAAUCGGAGGUGUCUCGAGGAUAUGGGAGGGAUCAGGUACAUACUUCUUCAACAUUGAGACAUGGAAGACAUUGUGAAUUCGAUCCAACUCUGGGGGUAACUCUAGUCUAUAUGCCACUGGCCCAAUCCUUUCAAUAAUACGAAAGGGUCCAAUGUAUCUAGGAUUGAGCUUUCCUUGCUUUGCGAACCGAAUCACACCUUUCAUUAUCUAACAAGAUACCACAAUUUACUACAAUAAUAUAAUCAAAUAAGACUUAAUACCUCAAAGUAUUCAAAUCAUUACCUUUCCAAGGAGAGACCUUAAGAAAAACUCUAUCAUCAACUUCAAAUUCUAAAUCUUUUCUCCGUUUAUUCGAGUAACUUUUUUGCCUGUCUUGAGCUGUUUUUAAUCGCUCUCGGAUAACCUUGAUCUUGUCAUUAGUCAAAUCAAUCAUUUCUACAUUAAACAAUUUCCUCUCACCCAUUUCAUCCCAAUAGAGUGGAGUUCGACACUUUCUCCCAUACAAAGGCUCGUAUGGUGCCAUCACAAUACUGGACUGAAAACUAUUGUUAUAUACGAACUCCACCAACGGCAAGUGUCUAUCCCAACUCCCAGUAAAGUCAAUGACACAAGCACAUAGCAUAUCCUCCAAAGUUUGAAUGGUCUUUUUAGACUGACCAUCUGUCUAUGGAUGAAAGGUAGUGCUAAAUCUUAUAUUAGUUUCGAGAGCUUAUUGGAAUUUCGGCCAGAAUCGAGAAGUGAACCGGGGGUCUCGAUCUGACACGAUAGAACCUGGAACUCCAUGUAAUCUCACUAUCUCAUCUAUAUAAAGCUUAGCCAGUUUCUCAAUGGAAUACGUGCUAUGGAUAGCCAAGAAAUGGGCGGACUUAGUCAAUCUAUCCACAAUCAGCCAAAUAGAAUCCUUCCCACUCUGCGUUCGCGGUAAACCCAAUACAAAGUCCAUAGUCACAUGCUUCCACUUCCAUUCAGGGAUAGGUAGAGGCUGAAGAGUACCCGAUGGUUUCUGAUGUUUCGCCUUAAUUUGUUGGCAUGUGAGACAUUUUGCUACAAACUCUACUAUGUCUCGUUUCAUACCCGACCACCAGUAACUUUCCUUGAUAGUCCUAUACAUUUUGGUGCAUCCGAGAUGUAAAGCAUAGGCAGAAGAAUGAGCUUCUGCCAAAAUAGCCCGUCUCAGCUGAUCAUCUUUAGGGACACAAACCCAAUUCCCAAGCAUCAAAAUACCAUCAUCACUAAGUCUGAACUCAUUAGUUUCUCCAUUUCGCAACUUUUGUACUUCCCGUUUCAACUCAUCAUCAGACUUCUGCAAUUCUCUAAUUUGGUUCAACAAUGAGGGUCUCACAACAAAGCUAGCAAAUAGGGUUCCAUCCUCGCCAUUACUCAACUGGAUCCUUAGAGAUUUCAUCUCAAGUAAUAUAAAAAAAUAAGAAUUUCGAAGUGAUGCUAAUGAAGAUAAGGAUUUACGACUCAAGGCAUCUGCUACAACAUUUGCCUUUCCUUGAUGAUAAUCAAUUACUAAGUCGUAAUCCUUAAUCAACUCUAACCAUCAUCUCUGUCUCAAGUUGAGUUCUUUCUAGGUGAGCCAGUAUUUCAAACUUUUGUGGUUAGUAAAAAUUCGACAACGAUCACCAUAUAAGUAAUGCCUCCAGAUUUUUAAUGCAAAGACUAUUGCUGCCAACUUCAAAUCGUGGGUAGGGUAAUUCAUCUCAUGCUUCUUCAACUAUCGAGAAGCAUAAGCUAUUACUUUCUCAUCUUGCAUUAACACACACCCUAAUCUCAAUUUAGAGGCAUCACUAUAUACCACAAAUUCUUUCCCGCUAAUAGGAAGUGUCAAAACGGGAGCGGAGGUCAACCGGUUCUUUAGCUCUUGAAACUGACUCUCGUAGACAUCAUCCCACUCAAACUUGAUUCCUUUAUGAGUCAAACGAGUCAAAGGAGCAACUAUCAAUGAAAACCCUUGAACGAACCUCCUGUAAUAACCGGUUAAACCAAGAAAACUUCGAAUCUCUGUCACCAUUUUCGGUUGCUCCCACUGUAAGAUCGCCUCAAUCUUCUUGGGAUCGACAUAAAUUCCAGCUCAAAUCACAACAUGUCCCAAGAAAACCAUUUCCUUUAACCAAAACUCACAUUUGGAGAACUUGGCAUAGAGUUGUCUCUCGAGCAAGGUUUGCAGCACAAUGCGCAAAUGAGUAGCAUGUUCAUCAUCAUCCUUCGAAUACACCAAGAUAUCAUCUAUGAACACUAUCAUUAACUUAUCCAAGUACGAGUGGAACACCCUAUUCAUGAGGUCCAUAAAAACUGCCGGAGCAUUAGUCAGACCAAAAGGCAUAACCAGAAACUCAUAAUGCCCAUAACGAGUCCUGAAAGCAGUCUUGGGUACAUCCUGCUCCUUGAUCUUCAACUGAUGAUACCCAGACCUCAGAUCAAUCUUAAAAAACACCGUGGCACCCUAUAGCUGAUCAAAAAGAUCAUCAAUUCGUGGUAAAAGGUAUUUAUUCUUGAUGGUCACUCGGUUCAGUUGAUAGUAGUCGAUACAUAACCGAAGAGUGCCAUCCUUUUUCUUUACAAAUAAGACUGGUGCACCCCAGGGAGAAAUACUAGGGCGAAUAAAACCCUUAUCUACUAAUUCUUGCAGCUGGACUUUCAACUCCUUUAAUUUUGCCGGAACCAUCCGAUAUGGAGGAAUGGAAAUAGGUGCAGUACCCAAAAUUAAAUCAAUAGAGAAUUUCAACUCUCGAUCAUGAGGUAGUCUUGGUAAUUCAUCUGAAAACACAUUAGAGAACUCAUCUACUAUUAAGACAUCCUCUAACUUAGGCUCCCCCUUUGAGGUAUCAAUCACAUGUGCUAGAUAAGCUGGAUACCCUUUUUGCAAUAGUUUUAAAGCUUUGAUAGCCGAGAUUACAUAGGAUGGUAAUACUCGACGUUCCCCUGCAAAUACAACUUCUACUCCCUCAGAAUUUUGAAGUACAACUUCUUUCCUAAAAUAAUCCACUUUCACCCGAUGUGUAGUCAACUAAUCCAUACUCAAUAUCAAAUCAAAAUCCCAAAUUUCUAAGGGAAUUAAAUCAGCCUUGAAUUCUUCCUCACCAACCAUUAUUCCACAAUCUCUAUAACAAGUGUUUCUAAUCAACUGCUCUCCUAGAAGGGUAUGAACUACAAUUUCUUCCUCUAAAGGUAACAGGUUCCUAUCAGAAAAGGAUGCAAAUGUCGUGCUCACAUAAGAUCUAUCCGAACCAGAAUCAAUUAAGACAUAAGCAUCUUUGUCAAAUAUAAACAUGGUACCUGUCAUUGCACUAGGUCGAACUCGUGCCUCUUCCUCUAUCACAGCAAAAACUCUCGUCGGAGUAUGCGUCUGUGGUCUGAAGGUUGAUAUACCGAGGUAUUACUCCCCACACCAGACCGCAUCGCUACACCCUGUUUCAACUGUGACCCAGAAGAAUCUCUUCUUUGUAUAUCGAUGCGAGUCUGUAGAGAUGAAGUAGCUACAGUAACUCAUCCUAGCUAUGGACAAGCACUCUUUAUAUGACCCUGUUAACCACACUAAAAACACCGCAUGCGCUCCCACCAUGGCCCAGCAUGAAAUCUCCCACAAUUACGGCAUUUGUCAAAAUUCGCAAAACUCUUUCCAGAAGCACUCGUCGCUGAUCUACUGAAUCUAGGAGACUUUUGUUGCGACUAUUGAGAUGGGGGUCGGGUAGAUGCUAUUGAAGUAGUGGUAGCGCUCCUUGAAGUAGAUAAAUCCUUGCCCUUUUUAGAUGGCUGACUGGAUGAUGUAUUCGGAUUCCUUCUCUUAGCAAACUUAGCCCGAACCUUCCUAUUCUCAGUCACGAGCUUCUCAGCCUGUAAAGCCAUUUGCACAACCUUUUAUACGGCUCCUUACCCGUUACUAUCAUACGGUCUCUGAUUUCAUUUCGGAGCCCUUUUUCAAAGUAAUUAACCUGAUCCUGCUCAGUCUUCACCAGAUCGGGCACAUAAGACAUUAGCUCGUUAAAACGAGCCUCAUACUCCUCUAUUGUCAAACUCCCCUGUUUCAGACUCAAGAAUUCCCUCUUCUUUUUCUUUUGAUGAAAAUGAGUAUAAUACUGAUCGUCGAACUCUUAUAGAAAAUCUGACCAAGUCAGAGGAGUAGUAAAACGAGACUUCACUGAGUUCCACCAAGUACGAGCCCUCUUCUUAAGCAAUCUAGCGGCCACAAUCAAUUUCAUAUCAUCAUCUAAUUUCAUAUCUGUAAGUGUCUCUAAUACUUGAAUGAUCCAGUCUUUAGCUACGGUUGUGUCCAAAUCACCUAUAAAAGAAAUACAACCCAACUGCCUAACCUCCUUAAGUUUCUUAGAAAUCGAUACAUCGGGUACUUGUAGUGGAAUAGGAGGUGGUGAUGAUGGUGGCACUGAGCGGCCGAAGGAACAGCAAGAGAAACUUAACCAGCUUGAGCCUGGCCAAUAAUAGUAGUGAGGAAAGCUGCCAAUGCCUAAACUGCCUCAGGAGGUAUAGCAGGACUACCAGGAAUACCAGUAGGUGCUGGAGGAUGUGGAGGGUGUGGAGGAGUUUCAGUAUGUUCAGCAGCAGGUGCUGCCCAAAAAGUAGACGCAGCUAAUUCCCCUUCUAUAGGAUUUGGUUGACGAUGUUGAGAACGACCUCUUCCCCUCUCGAUUGAUCUAAAGAGAGGUGGGCGUCCACAUUGAGGAGGCAUAAUGAUCUAUAAGAAGAGACAGUACGAAUUUAGACAACUUUAGGUUCUAGAUGCAAUUGUAUGCAUUCAACUCAAUCUAAUCUAACUUGGGGCCACAUUGAUACUGUAGUUUUUUAAAAUAAGUUUAAAACUAAAAGCUCUGAUACCAAUCGAAAUGUCACGACUUGGUACUCCUUUCUAGCUCAUGACAUCCGCCGCGAUAUCUCGAAAGACAUCCAUUACCCGGAAUGUCAACCAAAACCUCGCAAGGCCCUCACAUCAAUUUUACAUCUCCUCUAUGAGCAAUAGUUACUAAAUAUCAUGUUUUAAGGGAAUAUAAACUAUUUUUAAGUCAAAACAAACAAAAAAAUAAUUUUUUUCACAUAGGGGUAUUUGGGUCAUUUUUACCCGAAAAUUUUGAAACUUGGUAAAAAUACAACAUACGAUCGAAAAUAUACAUUUCUUAUUUAAAAAUAAUUUUAAUAAUCUAAUUUAUCCAUUUAAAAUAAAAUUUUGGCUAAUCAAACUAAAUAAAAAUAUUAAAUAAAAUAUUCUAUUUUCUUAUAAAACAAUAUUUAUAGAACUCUGCAUAAAUAAUUUUUAUAGCGUAAAAGAAAAAUAAAUUCAUACAUACAGUGGCACACGUAGCCAGGUAUACAAAAUAUUUUACAAUGACAUGUGGGCCCCCAAAAUAAACAAAUAUGUACAAGAAGGUCGACCUUUGAUUUCUAAUGAUGUAAAUCUUAAAGUAGAUCAUCGACGAAAUUAGCUAUCUACAGAUUAUCCUUAGGAGUCACUUAAAAGCUCGAGGGGUCCAAUAACAAGAGGCCGUCAUCGAAGAAUGAAGAUCGCAUUUUACAAUAGUAAUACUUGCAUGUGUACACUAAUUAAUGGAAAAACAUAUGGGACUUUACAUACUACCACAUGUUGCAAUGUGUAGAUUCCAGAACUAGAUCGCAAAACAAAUAUAGAAGUUACCACGAAACGUUUUUGAGUAGGUGUGAUUGGCCACUCAAUUAAAUCUAUGUUUUCUAAUAGAAAUCCUAAGUUCAAUUUAAAUUCAUGACAAAAGAUAGAUUCUGGAUUUCAAACAAAAUUAAGGUUUAGGAGUACGAUUAUACACAAGGAAGAUAUUAGCAAUACCCUAUCAGUGCUUGCUCAAAUAAUGUUAUCAACUAAUCACUUGUUAUCCUAUUAUAACAUUGAUAGGAUUGUCCUUAAUUUCAUAUUUGAUUAGUCUCUUUAUUAUUAUUAUUAUUAUUAUUAUGAUUAUUAUGAUUAUUAUUUUCCUUUUCUUUAUAUUGAUAAUGUAUGCCUCAUAAGCCAAUGCGUUGGGUAUAGAGUUAUUUUAAGCAUUACAUUAAUUAAUAAAAGCUUUUCUUUAUCUUAUCCAUGGAAUAAUACAUGCUUUGCAAAGAAAAUUAUAAAGUUUUAUAAAUUUGAGAUCCUUAUUGCAUCAAAGCAUUAUUCCUAAACGUUCUUAGUCAAUGCUAUAAAGAGUUUGGACAUUGAUAAAGCUAAGAGACUAGUACAUGGUUAUGUUCCUCAUUUGUGAAAUGAGCAAUCGAUCUCAUAGAUUGAUGUAUAUGGAUACUUGAACUAACAUACGGUGCUUGUUGUAUAAACAAAUUCAUUAAACAUGACCCACAUUGGGAAUUUCAUUUGUUAUGACACUCUUAUGUGAGAGUUGUGUAAAUAAUUCUUAGAUGUGAGAUUAUUAGGUUGCCUUGUAAAAGGAUUGCUAUAUUUUGAUACUAUCUUAAGCGGUCCCAAUCAAGGAUACAUAAUAAGUUGGACAUUGAGUAAAGCAUGAAAGAUAUGGAGGUAGAAAAAUGGCCAAUAAAGGAUUCGUCACUUUAAGUAAUAUUAAAGGGAAUAUUCUACUACAUCUUGAUAUGUAAUAAUUCUAGAGAAUUUGUGGCUAAGGCAGAAUGAGGGUUAGGAGAAAAUUUUUUCAAAUCUCAUUAAAAGAGUAGAUUAUAAAUAUCAAAAGCUAACAUGGUAAACAUAACAAUGAAUAGACACCAGCUGUGCUCUAUGUCUUGCUAAGAUAUCAGAUUAAUGAAAAUAUAUUAAUUACAAAGUAAGACUGUGCAUUAAAGUGUGACACCUUGACUUGGAUACGAACUAUAUAUGUUGUUGCCUAAGUUGUUUUAUGGCUUGGGUGACCUAUGUGAUGAUUUUCUAUAAGAUUUGAAUAUAUGUACAUAAUAUGUGAAAAAAUGACCAUGUGUUAAGGACUUAAUGAAUGAUGAAAAGUUAUGUUAUCAAUGAGAUUAAGAUCUUGAGCUAUGUGUUGAUAUACCUUGACUUUGAAUAUUGGUUAAUGUAGUCCAUACUAGCUGCAUUGAGAUGAAUGUUGAAAUAGGAAAUGGUUUGGGAGUUUUAGAUUUAGAGUUAGGCAACUAAUAAUGUUAAAAUUUACAUUCUGGAGCAAAUGUAUAGAUAGAUUCAAUGAUCUAUCAAUACAUUCUUGGGAAAAAUCUUUUGGGAAGCAUUCUGUAAGAAAACUAUCGAUAGAUUCGAGGAUGUAUCAAUAGAUUUGAGGUGGGAGACAUUCUGUUGAAAUUAUUUCAAUAGAAUCACCACUAGUAUUGAUAGAUUUUGGAAAGGGGACAUUCUAUGAAAAAUGUAUUGAUAGAUUUCCCCAAUUUAUCAAUACAUUUCAAGUAGAGAGCAUUUUAUUUAAUUUCUAUCGUUACAUUAACACAUGUAUUAAUAGCUUCUAGGAAAAUUCGCAACAAUGUUUUGAUAGAUUCACCAAUCUAUUGAUACAUGCCUCUAGAAUGACAAAAAUAUAUAAGUUUUAAUCAUUUCAUCCAUUUGGAAAAACAAAACGGAAGAAGUUUUCCCCUAUUGCCAUUGAAACCUUCAGAUCCCUUUAAUAAAUUAGAGCUAAUUUAGAAGAUUUGGAAGCUUGGAAAUUCAUACUUGAGGUAAGAUUAAACCUCCUACCACCUUGAACUACAUUUUAAUUGGUUCAAAAAUGAGAAUUUGUUUAUGGUUUCAGCUCAAUUGGUCUUCCUCUUGAGCUACUAGAAUUUUGGUGUUUUGGAAGGUUUGAAUCAACACUAAGUUAAGGUUUUAAGGCAUUUUAAUCUUGGAAUCUAAAACUAGCAUGUGUUAAGAUGGGUACUGGAAAGUUAAGCUAGUUUAAAAUGUUGCCGAUUUUACACACACAAGUAUACCUAUCAAAUAAGUAAUUUAGACAGUAAGUCCAAAAUCGUAUUCUACACAGAUUUGCUCCUAAUUAUUCAUUAAAUACUAAAAUUAUGGUAGAUCAAUCUUAUUCAAGUAACUCGAUUUUAUGGAAAAUUAAUUAAUACUAAAUUAAAUCAAAUACUAAACUAAUUAACAAAAACUAAACAUUCACUGGAGAAAGGCAAUAGAUUAAAACCUAGGAGUAUGGGUUCAUUUAACACUUCAUCUAAUAUCAGCUUCUUUUAUUAUUUAUAUUCAUGGGUGGUUUUACUAACCUAGAAUCCAAAGUUAUGUACAAGUUUCAGUCGAGAUGCUUGUACAAAUAGCUGACUUAAUUGGGUCACUAUAUGUCUAUAGUAAUCAAUUAAAUAAAGUUCAUUAAGUGAUAACUCUCUAACAUUGGGUUAUUUGGGCUUAAUUUUGAUAGUAAUUUAACUUAGUUUUUGUAGUAAUGCAUAGAAAUUAAUAAGUUUUAUUUAAAUUAUUUUAAAUUAGUUAAUUUAGGUGAGUCAACCUAAUCUUAGUUAAUUUUAUGCUUAAUUUGGUAUUAAUGUGAUUAAGAUAGGUUGUUAUUGAUUUAGUUGUGCUUUUGUAAGUGUUUAAUGAAGGAAGACUUUUAAUGAAAGAAGGAAAGCAAUUUCAAGGUGUAGACUUUUACUACACAUGUUUUGGUAUUUUGAUAAUAAAUCUCUCUACAAAAAUCUAAAUGAUAUGAUUCUUUGACCAUUGGAAAGCUAAGAGAAAAAUAUACAACUUUCAUAUUUACUACCUUACCCAGUUCAGCAUAAAAAGUGGUCAAAAAUCUUGUCAAAGUUGAAGUAUUGCAAUAGUUCUAGAGCAAUUACCAUUUCUACUAAUUAAUUGGUCGAGAUCGCGGCCUACAUAGUUUGAUGAGGAAUUCCUUAUUAGAAUUGACUUCUUUCUUCACCUAACUUGGCCUAACUUCAAAACCCUAUAAAAACAACAUUUCGGAAGACUUUUAGGAGAAAAACGAAACACCAAAUUUAGAGUUGACAUUCAAGCCACAAAAUUGUCGAAAAAAAAAAUCUCAUUGAAGUUGAAAAGAAAUUGAAAGAUUUAAGAAGAUUUGGAGAUUAAGAGUUUCACUCUUGGAGUUUCGUUAUUCUUAUUUUUCUUGGUUUAGUUUCUAUGUUUAAACUUAUUUUGAUGAUAAUGUGUGACUUGAUGGGGAACUAAAUUAUUUAUCUAAUAUUAUGAUUAAACUCAAUAUGUAGUCUGAUUUAUUUAUCUCUCUUUUACUUUUGUUUGAUGGAUUUAGGUUGUUUAUUUGAUUCUGUUCUUAAUGCUUCUAGUUGGCUAAUUACCAAUUAGAUUAAAUUGGAAACCUAGAUUAAACCUUAACGAAGGAGAUUUAGGUAAAUCUAGAAUAAAAUAGCGUAUGAUCAAAUACUUAGUUGAUUAGGUGAUUUGAUUUGCAUAUAAGGUAGGCAUACACCUAGAAGUCAUAUGUAACCAAAAUUAAAGCACGAAAUUAAUGAAUCUUUUUUCAAUUUAAUUUGCAUAGACAUAUAUUAAGUUAAUUGGGAGAUAUAUUUUUAUAAGAAACUUGACAAAGACUUAUAAAUAAAUUAGGAUUCUAGGUUAACAACUUGAUCCAUUAAAUUAAGUUAAGAGAGAGACAAUAAUCGGAAGAAGUAUUGAGGGAUAUAAUAAUCUUAGGUCUGAUAGUCAUUCGAAUUUAGUAAAAUAAUUUUGCUAAUAGAUUUUACAUUAGUUUUAGUUAUUAGUUUCAAUUUUUCUUUUUAAUAAUUAGGUUGUUUGGAUAAGAUUAGUGUUAUAAUUUUAGUAGUUAACAGUUAGGAAUUAAAUUAAUUCUUCAUGGGAACGAAUUCUACUUUCUAUUAUAUUACUUGUUAACGAUAUAUGCACAUGUGUGAGAAAUCAACAACAUUAAGCUAAUGUUUUAAUUUGGUUAGAUAUAGCAAUUGACGUAUGUCUACUUGAAUCGCAAAGCAGAUCACCUAAGUGACAUGAACAUGCACUAUUCAAAUCUUAGUUCAAUUUAAAAUCUCUCUAUCGAGUCUCAAUUAGAUUCACAAAUUAGUUAAUUAUUGGCUAGACAAUCAAAAGCAUUAAAAGCAAAUUUGAAUAAGCAGAAUUAUACCCAUUCAUAGAAAAUAAAAGAAAAACAAAUAUUCAAAUUACAUGUUGAAAUCCACCACAACCUAGAAAAAUAGUUUAGCUCAUAAUAUCUAAUAAAAACUUCAUCCAAAGAAAAUUAGCCAUUAAUCCAAGUUUAAGAAAAUAAGAAAAACACAAAAUUAGAGAGAGAAAACUAAUAGUUGAAGCUUUGUGAUUUUGAUUCUCCCUCAAAUUCUCUUGCUUUCUUGCUUUGUUUUUGGCUCUUUUUCUCCAAAGAAAUUGCUUGUUGCCUCUUCCUAAAAACCUCUAAAAACGGCUCCUUAAAUAGCCUUCAAAAGCCCUAACUUCCAAAAUCCCUAGGAUGUUUAUUUUUGAAAAAUUCCCCGAGCGCUGUGGCUCUCAUUCUUUAGAGCCACGACUCUCAAGGGUUUUAUCUUGACUUUUGCUCUUCUGGUGCAGUAUUUCCACUUUAAUAAGGAUUUCGACCAUCUUCCAUCAAAAAUGAGAAAAGUAGUAAACAUUAAAGUUUUAGCACUGCCUCUUAGCUUUCCAAUGGUCUAUGAAUCAUGUCAUUUGAACUUAUGUAGCGAGAGUUAUCUCCAAAAAACUAAAACAUGUGUAGACAAAACACCAGUCCAUUAUGUACCUUUCUUCACCAAUUGAAGUUAUUUUCGAUUCUACUGCCACAAAAAAAUAAAAUUAAACAUAAAUAAUAGAAAACCUACAUUAUUAACUUAAAAUAAACAUAUAACCAUAAAUUAAACUAAACUAAUAAAAUAACUAAAAAUACCUAAAUCCGAUCCUAAAUCUAGUCUAACUUAAGCUAAUUAGGUAUUUAAUCUCUCAUUAAAUAUAUGUAUUUGAUGCACACAUCAUAAAGUGCUGGAAAUUGUUUGAAACACUAAGGGUUUAUAAUUUUUUUACAAGGGGAAAAUGAAGUUACAAUAGCAUUAUGAACCUGGAAAUCUGUUGAAGAUGAGUAAAGCUUGAGUUUAGUUGUUGGAAAUAGUGAAUUAUCACUAUGAGUAGGGUAUUAUUUAAAUGUUAAGGUGAUGUAUAUAUGCAUAAAUAUAUGUAUGUGUGUUGCCAUCGGAUAUCUAUAGUUGAUAAAAUGCCUAGAUGAACUAUGCCUAGGCCAACGAGUCAACAUGAACUAUUUCAUAGCAAUGUUAACAAAAAAUUAUGUUUGAUAUUAAAUGAGCCACCUAAUGGCGAUUGUGUUUGGCUGUAUUUGUAUUGUAGACUACGACUUGUUGACCAUGCCUAUUUGCUUGCACAAACUCAUUGUUGCUACUCAUGUAUUAUGAUUAUAUGUGUGUAUUAUUGCUUAUGCGUAUUUGCUACUUCUCGAGAACUAUAGAACUGGAAUUGCGAAAGUUAAUGAGCUGUAUUUAAUAGUUUUGCAUGGAUAAUGCCAAUUGAAUAUGAAAAUGAUUCUGCACAUGUGAUGUCAACAUGAAUGCUAAGGUUGAUACGGUUCUGUCUAAUGAGUGCAUUAUGGACGAUGACAUGGUAUAGUAAGAAGGUGUCAUGGCCUUGUGGUCUCGUUUACUGUCAAGAAUUUCGACCUUAUACAUGUCUUGUUUACCCCGAAGGAUCUUUCUCUUGUUUCCAUCUUGAUGACAACUCAUGUUUACUGGAAAGUACUAGUAAGUAUACCAUGCACUUGUAUACUCUAAUGAGUCUUGAUGAAUGUGGUAAGUAUGUGGAAAUAUUGGAUUAUGCUUAACAGAGGGUAAGCCGCUUAAAUGAGCAUUUGCGUACUCUGAGGAGUCUUGAUUAAUUAUUAUGCAUAUGCAUAUUUAUAAUGGCAUAUCUUGUACUAUAGGAUUUAAACAAUAUACCUCUGUUAUGCUUGUUUAUUUUCCACCCACUCACUAAGUUAAUAGAGACUUGCCCCAAUGUUUGUUGCCAUGUGCAAAUACAAAGCUUGUGGGAUUCCUAUGCAGGAAGCGAGUGGCUAAUGUUUGUCAGUUAGAUCAACUUUUUUGGCAUCUAAUAGGAAUCUUGAUGUAGAGUCCACUUUGCUGAUUUUGGUAUUUAAGUUUGUUGUUUUGGAUAUGGCAUUUAUGAUGCCACUCUAAUGUAUAAACUAUGGUUUAUUUUGUACGGGUUUGGACCCACUAUGUUAACCAACAUAUGACUCUUGUAAUAGUACAUGGAUGUACUCUUAAUGGAUUUAUGUUAAGGGUAGCUUGUUAAAACUAUACUUGGACUUAUUGUAUAAAAUGCUCCAGUUUGGUUUGAAAAUUCUCUUAAUGAGUCUAUUGAUCUACACGAACUAUUUAAGGCUUGCUCAAGAAUCAUGGGCUUCACCCACGUGACUUGUGUGCUGGUCACGGCCCACUGGUUUGGGUCGUGUGUCAAGCCUUACUCCAUUAUAUACUCAUCACAACAUCCAUAUACUUGAUGGCACAUCUGCAUGUUAGAAUGCCUUAGAAAUAGUUAAAUAAUCGGUAUCGUAACUAGUUAUGCAACUAAGUUAAUUUAAAGCCUCGAACUAGUUCAAAUAGAAAUUUUAAGAUGAAAUUGAGAAUUUUAAAACCCCAUAAUGACUUAAUAUGGUGAUUCGGAUUUCGAGGAUUAAAUUGGAGUCAAUUAGGAAUUUUCAUACCAUACGGGCAAAAUGGUAAUUUUGCCACCCGAGGGCAAAUUUGGAAAGUUGGUUGAAAAUUUUGAUCAAGUUUGACCAAUUGGAGUAUAAUUUGAGAUUGAGAAGUGAAAAAAAUUCAAUUUCGAGCAUAAGGGCAAAAAUGUUAUUUUUCGGGUCCACAAGGGCAAAAUUGAAAUUUUACGAUUUUUCACGACCAUGACAUAUGUCAAGCUCCAUAAUUUUACCUAUUAUUAUUUUAUGCUAUGGAUAAGUAUUGGAGCAUUUGUGGUGGUGAGAAAAGGCUUAAAAAUUAAGUUAAAACAAGCGGACCAAUAAAAAGGUGACAUGUGUCAAAAAUUAAAUAUUUUUAUAUUGCCAUUUAAAAACCAGCCCAUACUCUUCCACUCAUAAUUUGAAGGCCGACCAGCACCUACUGAAAAGAGAAGAAAAGAAAAGAAAAACCCUAGGGAGGAAAAACUAAGGAAAAUUUGUUGAAUUUUCAAGAAAUUGGUGACUAAAGGUAAGAUUUUUAAUCUUAAGCUUGAAAUUCAUCUUGCCCAUGCAUUCUUUUCCAUUUUCCAUGAAUUAAAUUCAAGUUUUCAUGAGGGGCAAUAUGCUGGCCAAAUUUAGAGAGAGAAAGUUGGUGAUGAAUUUAGUUGAAUUUCAAGGUAACUUAGUGUUUUUAGGUGUUUAGUAACAUUUAGUAUGAAAAUUAAGUAAGAAAUCCACAUGCCCAUUAUAGAACCUAUCUUGGCCGAAUUUUAUGGGUGAGGUUUGAUGAUGAAUUUGGUUGCUUUUCAUGCCCUUUAGAUUGUAUUUGGUGCUUAGGAAUAUCGAAAAUCGAAAACGGGUACCGAAAAAUUUUACUCCUGUUAGUUAACAAUUUGCACAAUAAUGAGGGAUAUUUUGGUAAUUGCACUUAGAAUAGAUUUUUAUUGAAGUGUGUGGAAUUUUGGGGACUACUAGAAGUGCAAUAAAUUAAUUGGAAUUGAAUUGGACGUUUAGACCUAUUAAAUAGUGUAUAGUGCGCAAUAGGCUGAACACCUCCCAUUUCAUUGCAUGCAUUCAUAUGGAACAUAGAAUAGUUUUGUGACAAUUUAGCAUAAGUAUAUUAAAUUUUCUGUUGCACAUUAUGUAUAGGUGGUGAGCCCUCGGAUAAGGGCAAAGGUAUUGCACCCGAGGAUCGAGACUAGAAGUGUUGUAAAUUCUCGUCAAAGUGAGUAACCACUGUUCAUCUUAUUUAUUUAGAGUAUUUUUACAAUCAUUUUUAUGAUUUUAAGAAUAUUGAGCCUAAAUGAAUUUUAUGUUUUAUGACUAAUAAUCAAUUUAAGGAAUAAGGUUUAUGAUUUAUUUUACAAUUUAAUAAUGUUUUUGAAAAUGUGAGUAUGUGGAGACCAACCUUUGAUAUUGCCUAUAUAUUUAAGUUUACGUACCUAUGUUUGGAAUUGAUGAUUUAUGAAUUGAUAUGUGAUGACAUAUGUGGCUGGGUUUUUGGUUUGUGAAAUAUAUUAAACUGUUUGUUUUCCUUUGAUAGGUUGGGUAGUAUUAUGUUAGCCACGUUAUGCUGUCAAAAUUUAUUGAUUGGUGGGUUAUUUAAUUAGCCACUGCAGUAGGCGGGUUUUCGUAGACCAGCCUAUUAGAGGGGCAUGGUAAACCCCGUUAUAUUUACCUUAGUAUGAGAAGCGCGAAGGAUAUCUCCUAAGGUACAAUAGAGUUCACUUCACGCCGAACCACCACUUGAGGAUGAACUUUGCCAACGCCAAGAGAUGGCUAAACUAUGUUUUUAUGAGUAGUUGUUAACUUAAUAACCUUGGCGGACUCGAUUGAAUGCCUCGGCUAAGGUAUCACCGAGUAUGAUUUUUGGAACGAGCCAAGUUUUUAAGAAAAUCAUAAAUCGUGAUGCGUAUUAUAAUGAAAUGUGUUGUUUUAUGUGAUUUGAAACAAAUACAAAAUGUUGUGGAUUAUGGUAUGAUGAAAAGUUAACUGUCUCCAUUUACUCGGCUUUAGAAGUUAAUGACAGACUUUGUUUACUCACUGAGUUUAUGAAAACUCACCCUUUCUUUUUAACCAUUUCAGGUUCAGGAUAAUCUGUAGGCAGUUGAUUUCAUUAAGGAUUUCUUUUGGACUUACUUUCUUCGAAAUCGUAGGUCUACAUUCUUGCACACUUUUGGUUAUCUCGGGGUCCAUAUGCCACUGUAGGAUAAUUUUGAGUACAUGGUUUACUGUAUCACUAUGUGUAUGAAUUUAUUUUGUACUUACACUACAAAAAUUAUUUAUGCAUAGUUCUAUAAAAAAUUAUUUUAUAAGAAAAUGGAAUAUAUUAUCGAAUAUUUUUAUUUAGUCUAAUUAGCCAACUUUUCACUCCAAAUGGAUGAUUUAGAUUACAAAAAAUUAUUUUUGAUCGAAAAUGGAUAUCUUUCUACCAUAUGAUGUAUUUUUAUCAGGUUUCGAAAUUUUCAAGUAAAAAUGACCAAAAUACACCUGUGUGGUGAAAAUUUUAUUUUGAUUAUUUUUUAUCUAAAAUAGUUUAUAUUCUCUUAAAACUCGAUAUUUAGUAACUAUUGCUCAUAGGGGAAGUGGAAAACUGAUGCAAGAGCCUUGCGAGAUUUCGGUUAACAUUCCGGGUAAUGAAUGUCUAUUGAGACUUCACGGCGGUUGUCACUGGCUUGAAGGGAUUGCCAAGUCGUGACAUCGUGACAUAAAAGUUGAGUCAACUAUAGUUCUUCUUAAUAUUUGGGUAGUCAUGUGCAUUGGUAGAUGAUAAUUUUGACUUACAAAUAUGGAUUAAUCAAUUUGAAUUUGAUAACGAGUAUAAAGGAGUCUGAUUACUCUUUUUUUUAAAAUAAAAAGACAAAAAAGAGAUUGAUUGCUUAUAAUUAUAAUUUAUAUUUCUUACCAUCAUAUUAAGAAUCUAAUAGGUCACACAAAUUAAGAAUGAUUUAGUGACAAAGUAAAGUGGGAAAAUUAUGUUGGACUUAAUUACAUGGAAGUUAUGAACUUCAAGAAUUUAUUGAAAUACUCAAUUAAAUUAUUGGGGCUAUCACAACAUGGUAAAAUUUAAAAAGUCCCCUUAAAAUAUUUCAAAAGGACACUUUGGUACCUCUUGUUUCAAAAUGAUGUUUUUGGUCCCUUAAUUGUUAAUACCUUAGUCAACAGUUAACAAAAUUAGACCAAAUACUAUAUAAAUAUUUUAAGACGUACAUACUCCUUAUAUAAUUUUUUUUAAUUUAAGCAUAUUCUCUUUGUAAAAAAAUCUACUCAUCAUUCCCUCAAAAACAUUAAUAAAAAAAUCUUAAGAAAUUUCUAUUUAAAGAUCUGAAAAUUUGAAGCUGUUUUUGCCUUAAAAACUAUAAACUUCUUUUUUGAGCUAAAGUCUAUUGUCAUCAAAUUCUUAAUUUUUUAAUAGCUUGAGAUUUUUUUUUGUUAAAAAGAAUGUAUUAAAGUAAAUUUUUUGCUUAAUAAUGGAUAUUUCAAAUUUAAUGGUGUCGAGCCAAGAGUUUAAUUUCUUAUUCGUAAUUAUUAAUUUUAUUGAAAUUUUUUUGUCUAAAAUUUGUUCAUUGAGACUAAGUUUUAGGGUGACAUAAAAAGAUUUUGACUUGAUUACUAUAUAUCCAAAGUUUUAAAUUUUUCUCUUUUUUGUCAAAUAUUGAAUUUUAUUAAGCCUCAAAGUGAGGCAAACUACUACAUUCAUAAAUUUUGUCCUAGGAUUUUAUUAAGUUUUAAGUUUUUUUCUUCUCAGUCAAAAAUUGAAUUUUAUUAAGUAUCAAAGUGAAUUUUAUUAAGUUUAGGAAGGAAACAAAAGCAUGUUUUUUUAAAGAGGGUAUUUGUGUUUUAAAAUAUUUAUGUAAUAUUGGAUAUAAAUUUUUUUAACUGUUAACGAAUAGUGUUAAUAAUUAAGGGACCAAAAACAUCAUGUUUAAACAAGAAGGAUCAAAGUGUCAUUUUGAAGUGUUUUGAAGGGGUUUUAUGGAUUUUACCUAUCGCAACAUGCAAGUUUGGGAACCAAACCAAUAUUCAUCCUAAAUAGGAAUCCCCCACCAAUGUUCUUUUUCAAGGUGUAUUUCGUCACCAAAUUGAAUUUAUCAUUUUCUAUGAAACCCUAAAUCCCCCACCAAUCUUCUUUUUCAAGGUGUUUCGUCACCAGAUUGAAUUUAUCAUUUUUGAUGAAACCCUAAGUUUGAUUUAGGUUCAUUUAAAAAAUAUAAGUUUCAGUCUAUGAAUAAAUUUGGGUUUGAGAGUAUGGUUACGUGUGAGGAAGGUAUUAGCAUUUUGUAGCAUUCGUUCAAAGAAUAGUACCAAUUAAUCACACGUUAUGUUGUUUUAUCCUUAACAAAUAGUCCUUAACUUCAUAUUUAAUUUUGUUUCCCAUAAUUAUUAUUUUUUUCUUGUAAUUUUUUCUUUCCUUUCUUUCCUAAGUUUUUCCAAUAGUUUUAGUGAGAGCAUCCUCACCUCAAGAGUAUUCAAGAAAAUCACUUAUUUCUUGAAGAGGCUCCAUUUUUGCAUUAAUUGGUAUUUUAUGAAAAGGUUAGAAUUAAAUCUUUUAUCCUUUCGUGUUUAUCUUUAUUAUAUUUUCUCUUUUUCUUUUUUUUCCUUUUUUAUUAAAUUUUUUAUACUUGUUAUUUUUCUUUCUCUUUUUUAUUUCUUAUCUUUCCUUAAAAAUAAAUGAGAACCCUCAAUAUUGGAAAAUUUUCUAAAUUCUUCAACACUUUUGGUGCAGAAUUUUAAAAAUCACCCAAAAAUUUUCAAUAAAAUUAUCACUUACAAAUUUCUUAAAAUUUUAUCAUCAAUUGAUUUUCAUUUGCUUGUAUAGUUAAAACUAAAUAGAUAUGUGCAAAGCAGACAAAUAUAAUGAUGAAUUUUGCAAAUUAUGAACAAAUUUAAAAACAAAUAUUUAAAAUUUCUAAAGACGUAAGUUAUAAGAUAAGUUCUAUAUAGGUUUCGGAAGUUUAUAAAAUAUAAUUCUUAUAUCACUGUGUUGCACACGUCUUCAAAAGUGUGGCAUAAACCACUGUCUUAGAAAUUACUGCACAUGCGCGCGUAAGUCUUGAAAUAUUUAUUUUAAUUUUAAAACAAAUUUUAUGAAAAUAAAUAAAACAAUAUUAUGGUUGAUUUUCUGGUGAAGGCUGUCCAAAACACACCUCCUAGGUGCAAGUUGGUUUUAGUUUUUCAAGCAAAAAGUAUUUUCUCUUGAAAUGACACGUGCAAGCCACGUGCCACUUUCCAUGUCAUUGUUUUACGCUUUUUUAAUGUCAAAAACUUUCUCUAAGAGAGUAGAGUCUAUUGUGAUGGUGAACGUGCUAAUCAAAAUAUGUGAUAGAAAGCACGCGCCGAACCAAGGGUGGAGACUGCAUUUCAUCUUUCAACUCUAGAUUUUCUUUUUCUUUUUCAUUUUAGUUUCUAAUUUUUUUUCUUUACUAAAUUGAUGAUGCAAAUAAUUAUAUACUAAUGGAAAGGUUGUCGAGGAAGGAAUAAAAAUUAUGCGUAAAAAAUAUUUAAGAGAGAUAAAUAGCCAACAAAGUUUGGGGUCUAACAACUAGGGUUUCAUUUUUUUCAUAUUUACUCAUUACAUAAUAUUCAAAACUUUCAAAUAUUUGUAUGCAUAUAUGAGGAUCAUACCAUGAAAAAUCAAACUCUAGAAUAUGUUUUUUUUACAAUUGUCAUGAUGUCAUAAAAGCUUCAAAAACUAGAUAAUCAUAAAAUAUAGACAUAAUCAAUGAUUUCUAUCAUGUCAGUCAUGGCAUUUAGAGACCAUAACUGCACCAAAACACAUGAAUAAGUUGUGAUAUAAAUGUAAACAAACAUGGAUGUAAUGAAAGUUCAGAAAAAUCUUAGUAUCUAUGAUCUAAUAUGUAUUAGUAUCUCUAACAUUUUGAUUAUGAAUAUUUUACGUGCCUAUUGAUCUCUUAAAACUUGUGGUGAAAAACUACUACAAACACAAGCAAGGACAACCUUUGCUUAGUGUGAAAGGCUUAGCUUGAUAAUGGAAGGAAGGUGGUUUUUCAAGGUAAUUAUUCUUUUAAUUUUUCUGACUAUUUGUGAUUAUAUUUUGAUGAAAAGUCUCAACUUACUUAUAGAACCCUUUUUGUGGUAACAAUAAAUUUAUAGAUAAUCUUAAUGUAUAUAAUUAUCAUACAAUUAUUCAAAUAACUUACUUUACCAAGACAAAGAAAGGAUAAUAUACUUUUGUCUUAGUAUACUUUAUUAGAGUCUUAGGUUUUUUUUUUUCUCUGAGAAAAAAUAUACUUUUUAUUUCUUCAAUCUUUUUCUUCAAUUGUCUUUAUGUUUCUGCAUCAAUAGCAUUAGUACGAGAUAGACCUACUUAAUCUUCAUACACAAAACUAAAACAUGGCAUGAAUCUAGACUAAAAUUCCAAAUGCAUGAUGCGACACUUUUUACAUUCCUACAUGCAGACAAGUUGGCUUUGAAGAGGUUUUGAGAGUAAAGUUUCUAGUAAAAUAAGAUGAACUCAAAAACAGAGAGAAAAGCUUGAGUCAAUAGAGAAUACUCAAAUUUUGGGGAAAAACUCACGACGGUUAUUUUCAUUAAGGUUUAUAUAUCCAUGCUAAACAUACUAGGCUCUAUAGAUUUAACCUUGGUUAAUGUGAAAAAUCAAAAUAGUCAGUUAAGCACAAAAAACGAUGACAUUGUUUUCUGUGCUUUGCAAUGGUAGCAACAACAUGGUUGUUAAGCCUUACAUUUGACUCAAAAUGACAACACUAUUAUGCGUAAAAGGAAGAAACAACAAACAAGAUUGAAACGGCAAAGCAUGAUACCGUAUGACAUUAAGUAAAAAUCAUAAGUGAAACAACAUAGAGACAGCCGUUUAGGCACUAUAAUUUGGUAAAGUAAAACGCAAAACUACACCGUUUCUUAGACUUAGUUCUUUAGGUUUCAAACUAUCGUUGAUUCCUGCCAUUCUUCAUCUCUUUCACUUUCAGUGAAAAUAUUAAAUCUUCAACACUUCCCCAAAAUCUUUGAUCUGAAACACCCCCAAGAAAGAUGUCAAAUAUCCGAACCUCUUUCUACCCAGACUCUUAGUGAUAAUAUCAUUAAGUUGUUCACCAAUAGGAUAGUAUUGUAGAGUGAUUUCAUUCUCCUUUACUAUAACUCUCAAAGCAUGGUAUUUGACCCUUAUAUGCUUCAUCAUACCAUGUUGAAUAGGAUUUUUGGCAAAAAUCAUAGUGCCAUUCUCAUGCCUAAACUUUAAAUCCUUUAACACCUUUCUCAGUAGCAGCACAUGAUUAACAGCAAUAACAGUUGCAAAUACUCAACCUCAGUUGAUGAUUGUGUCACCAUUUGUUGUUUCUUAGAAUUCCAUGUAAACACAGCACUACCAAAAAAAGAAACAAUAUCCAUAUGUACUUUGGAAUCAUUUAAGGUGUCAAACCCUGUUUUAUAAAAUAAUUACGACGUCAUUUACAUACUCAAUAGAAUGUUUGCAUAUUUAGGAAGUUCGAGAAAUCGUUAAAAGAUGAUAUUGCCCCUAAUAGUACCAUUAAGUCGAUUCAGUCUCGAACUAGUUCAAAUAGGAAUUUUAAGGUGAAAUUAAGACUUUCAAAGUUCAGGGAUGACUCAAAAUGGUAAUUCGGAGUUCGAGGAUCAAUUUGGAGUCAAAUCGAAAUUUUCACUAUCUAGGGGUAAAAUGGUCAUUUGCCACUUGGGGACAAAAUGGAAAUUUUUAGAAAAGAUUUUUUGGCCCCAUUUAACUUAUUGGAGUAUAAUUUGAGGGUUUGGCAGUGAAAAAGUUUAUUUCCGGUGAUUUCUCGAGUGUAUGGGGUAAAAUCGUAAUUUUUCCACUCGCGGAUAAAUUUUGAGAUUUUGAGAGAAUUUAGAUCACAUUUGACAAAUUGGAGAAUGGUAUGAGUAUAAGGGAUGAAAAAUAUGUCUAUAAGCGAUUUUUCAGUUUUUUGGGUAAAAAUGUAAUUUUCAAAAAUUACUCCACCAAAACUUUGGAUAAGUCUGAGAAUUUUAUCUAAGCUAUGGAUAUGUGGGACAAGUGUAUGGUGAAAAUUUGGAAACAAAUGGAUGGCUAGAAUUUAAGAAAUUAAUAAAACAAAAAAAAGAAUAAAAUAAUAUUAUAUUAUUUAGCCUUUAAAAAGGCCAAAAUUUCCAGAAUUCUCAUCUUCUUCAAGCUGUCCAAACCAGGAGAGAAAAGGGGGAAAAGAAAUAACAGCCCUAGCUAAAAAUUUUGGGGAAAAUCAAGAGAAAUCAAGAAAUCAAGCAUUAAAAAGGUAAAUUUCAUUGAUUUUCCUUGUGAUUUUCACUACCCAUGCAUUUUUUCUCAUUUCCAUGCAAAAUUAGAAAGUGGAUAUGGACACCCAUGCUGGCCAAACCUCCAUGGAUGAGUUUUGAGCUUGAGUUUUGGUUGAUUUUAAUUGAAUUAAGUGAUUUUAGUUAGGUUAUAUUGAAAUAUAGCAAAAAUAAGCUAGAGAAAUAAUUUUCUCCCAUUGAAACCCAUUAUGCCGAAUUUUCUAGGGGAAUAUUGGCUGCUGAUCUUGAUGUUUAUUUGAUGAAUUAUGAUGAAUAAUGAUGAAUUAUGAGCCUAGAAAAAUAAUGAGAAUUUUCGGAACAAAAAUAUGAAUUUUUACCCACUAGGGGUAUUUUCGUAAUUUGUUAUCGAGACUGAUAAUUUGCACCACACUGAGGAACAUUAAGUCAAUUUGGGUGCAAUUGAGGUAUAGAAACUGAAAAAAAUUAAUUUGGGAUUAAAUUGGACGGGUUAGUAAUUUAAUCGAGUAAUAGGUCGAAUUAGGUCAGCAUCGCAUUUAAAUGGUAGUCGGAUAAGUUGCAUGUCAUAUCAUGCAUAUACACCGAGCCUGAAUUGAUUUUAUAAUGGUCAAGCAUUAAUGUGGUAAAUUAUGUAUUGUACAUUAUGGAUAGGUGGUGAGCAAAUUACACUGGUAAAAGUACAGAGAUUGUACUUGAAGACUGGGGUUAGGAGUAUAUCGACUCCUAGAACAGUGACUGAACAAUUUAUCGUCUUAAAUAUCUAAAGUAAUUAUACUUGUUUGAUGCUUUUAUUGAAUGGUGAGUUUAAAUUAUAAAAUAUUAUGUUUUUCAAUUAAAAUAUAUUUUUUUUAUAAAAAUGAGAUUUAUACAGGUUUUGAAAUCAAAUAUUGUUUUGGAAAAAUUGAGUAUAUGGAGACUAUAUUGAAAUUUAUGAUUUUAUAUGUUAUUGAAAUUGGGGCUUAUGACACUAUGGUAGCAUGAUGGCUAAAUUUUUGAGUUUGGCAUGAAAUAUGUGAACAGUUUUGGAUUGGUCUCGGUAGACUGGAUUAAAUUUUAUUCGCCAUAUUAUGCUACUGAAAAUUUUAUGGGUCUGGUGGUAUAUUAAACGGUCACUACAAUGGUGGGGGUUUUCGUGGACUGCCUAUGAGAGGGGCACGGUAACCCAAUUAUAUACUUACCUUCGGGGGAAAAUGUUGGAUGAAGUAUCUCCUAAGGUAUGAUUUGAGUGCACCUCACGUUCGGGCGACCUCGUGAGAGCAAGACUCAGCCAACGUCAAGGAACGGCUGUGUGUCAGAUGUGAAAAUAUGUUUAUGGGUAUGGGUCAUUUAACAGCCUUAGCGGUCUUAGUGGGAUACCUUGACGAGGGUACCCGCGAGAAUGAUUCUGCUAGGGGCCAAGUUUAAGAAACUCAUAAGCCAGGGAAAUUUUGAUGAAAAGAAAUUGUUUGGUAUAGAUCGAAACGAAUUUUGCAUUAUGAACAUUAUUCAAAUAUAACGUUUUUUUUUUAGAUUGUCUCCAUCUACUCGGCUUUAGAUGCUUUUGAUGGUAAUUGUUUACUCACUGGGAUUAUGUAAUCAUAAUCUCACCCUUUUUCCUAUCCAUUUUUUAGGCUCAGGAUAGUUUAUUGAUAGUUGAUUAAGUCGAGAAUUAAUCUCGGAGUUACGUCGACAAAAUUGUAGGUUCACAGACUCGCACCUUAUUGAUUAGUUGGGGGCCCACGUGUCACUAUAAAAGUAAUUUUAUACUUCAGUUAUCUGAUUUAAAGUAUGUGUGAAUAUAUUUAGCUUUACACCAUGUUUUUGGCGAGUUUCGGUAUUUUCGAAGAAAAAUGACGAAAAUGCCCUUGUGAGCCAGAUAGUAAUAUUUUAUUAUUUUGAUUUGAAAAUAACUUAUGAUUUUUUGAAAUGAGAGAUUUAAUAACUGUCGCUCACGGGGGAGAUGCGGAAGCUGAUACUAAGCAUUGCGGGGUUUUGAUCGGCAUUCGGGGUAAUGAGUGCCUAUCGAGACGUAGUGGCGGUUGUCACGGGCUCGAUGGGAGUUCCAGGUCGUGACAUAAGGAUCCAGCCUAGUCACUGUCAUUGAAACCCUUCAACUCAUAGCUAUCCUCAUUCAAAUACCUCAAACCAAAAUUGAAUGUUGUCACGACCGGGAACUCUCAUCAGGCCCAUGACAACCACCACAACGUCCCGAUAGACAUUUAUUACCCGGAAUGCCGAUCGGAACUCCGCAAGGCUUAGCAUUAGGUUUCGCAUCUCCCUGGUGAGCGACAGUUAUUAAAUCUCACAUUUCAAGAAAUCAUAAGUCGUUUCCAAAUCAAAAUAAUAUAAUAUUAUUUUCUGGCUCACAGAGGCAUUUUCGUCAUUUUUCUUCGAAAAUAUCGAAACUCGCCAAAAACAUGAUGUGUGGGCGAAAAACACAUGUUUCAUAAUUAAAGUAAAUUUAGAUGUCUAAAAUAAUUAUUUGAAACGAAAUUAUAAAAGUUUGAAUAAAAUAAUAAUAUUUAAUAAAAUAUUCUAUUUAAAAAAAACAAUAUUUAUAGAAAAAUUCGUAAAUAAUUUUUGUAAUGUAAAAGCUAAAUAUAUUCAUACGUGCUUUAAAGCAGAUAACUGAAGUAUAAAAUUUCUUUUACAGUGACACGUGGGUCCUCAACUAACCAAUAAGGUGCAAGUCUGUGAACCUACAAUUUUGUCGAUGCAAGGCUAACUGAAGUCCUUGAUGCAAUCGACUAUCUACUUACUAUCCUGAGCUUGAAAUGUGGGGAAUUGAGGGUGGUGAGAUUAUAAAAUCUUAGUGAGUAAACAGACACCAUCUAAACUAUCUAAAGGCGAGUAAAUGGAGACGAAUUAAAAUAUUCUUUUCCAAUAUAUGUUUCAUAACAUGAAUAUCCAAUUUACUCAAUUAAUCAACAUGACUUAUAUAUCUCACAAAACUUGGCUCCUGCCAAAAUCAUUCCCGGGGAUGCCUUGGCCUAAGCAUCUGACCGAGACCACCAAGGCGGUUAAAUGUCUUUACAUCCGAAAUUCUAGUCAUGCCUUGGCAUUGGCUGAGUCUCACUCUCACGCGGUGGUCCACGUGAAGUGCACUCAAAUCUUUACCUCUAGAGAUACCUUUCACACGGCUCUCCGAUCGAGGUAUGAAUAUAAUAAAAAUAUUUGAUUCUGUGCCCCUUCUCUUAGGCUGAUCUAUAGAACCUCCACUGCAGGGAUUAUGAAUUAUUUUAUCUACCACCUGAUUUAUAAAAUCUUUAUUCGCAUGACAUGGCAAUUUAUCGCAAUCUAGCCUCUCAAGGCUGAAUACAUAGUAUAUAUAAUUUUGAUACAAAUACAGACUUUGCCAUUCAUGCUCACAUAUUGCUAUAAGCCAUAUAAUUUAAAACACAAUUUAUAACACAAGCAAGCAGUCUCCAAUUACUCUAUUUUCAAAACCAGUAUUCAAUUUUCUAGAAAAUUUAUAAAAUCAUUUUAUAAAAUCACAAUUUCUCCUAAAACAUAGAAAUUUACCAUGUAAACCAAUUUUCUAUAAAAUCACACAAUUGUAUAAAACUACUCUAGAUAAUUAAGACAAUAAUAAGUUUACUCACAGUUCUAGGAGUCGAUGUACUCCUAAUCCCAGUCUUCAAGCACAAUCUCUGUACUUUUACUAGUGUAAUUUGCUCACCACCUAUCCACAAUGUACAAUACAUAAUCCACCACAUUAAUGCUUGACCAUUAUAAAAUCAAUUCAGGCUCGGUGUAUAUGCAUGAUAUGAUAUGCAACUUAUUCGACUAUCGCUUAAAUGAGGUGCCGACCUAAUUCGGCCUAUUACCCGAUUAAAUGACAAUUGUGUUCGAUUUGGCUCCAAAUUGCUCCAUUUCAUUUCUAAUACCUCAAUCCACCAAACAUUAUUCAAAUAACACCAAUUUCAGCAUCAAAACCCUCCCAUUUCUUCAUGGAAAAAUUCAGCCAUUACGGUGCACUAACACCGUGAUUUUUCCUAUUUAAUUUUUCUCACCAUUAUUCAUCAUUUUCUAAGCCAUUUCUCUUGAAAUAAUAACAAUCCAUCACCCACACACAUCAAGGAAGAUUCGGCCAAUGAUGAUUCAUGGAAAAAAUGGAUUCUUUUCUUGUUGUUUUGCUUCUAAAUAUGCUAAAUCAACUAAAAACACUAACAUAUCUUAAAAUCAAUUCAAUCCAACAUCUUUCUCUCUCUAUACCCAUUUUGACCAGCCAUGAAUUCAUCAUGAAAACAUGUAAUUUAACCACGGAAAAUAAGGAGAAAUGCUUAAGGAAAAUAGAUUUUAAGUUUAAGUUGAAAAAUCCUACCUUUUUCACUUGUUUUCCUUGAUUUUCCAUACUUUUUCUCUUGAAAUUCUUCACCUAGGGUUUGUUCUUCCUUUUUUUCCCUCUCUUCCUUGCUUGGCUGAAUAUUUGGAGAGAUAAUGGGCUGAUUUAUGCUGAUUUUUAAGUUAAAUAAUAAAAUAUCCUAAGCUCGACACAUGGCAUGUUUCCAUUGGUCCAUUUUUAAAACUUUAAAAAUUUUAAACCUUUUAUCUCCACCACAUGAUUAUUCAAAGGUCAAAAUGAGGAUAAGGGAAGACCAUGUGCUGGACAAAUGUCCUGGUGGUGAAAAAUUACAAUUUUGCCCCUAGGGUGACAAAAUUACCAUUUUACCUCUAUACUCCAAAUUAUACCAAAAUUAAAAUUUUUCACUUCUAAACUUCAAAUCAUACUCCAAUAAGUCAAAUGGGGCCAAAAAAAUCUUUUCUAAAAUUUUCAUUUUGUCCCCAAGUAGCAAAUGACCAUUUUGCCCCUAGAUAGUGAAAAUUCCGGUUUGACUCCAAAUUGAUCCUCGAUAUCCGAAUUACUAUUUUGAGUCAUCCCUGGACUGUGAAACUCUCAAUUUCACCUUAAAAUUCCUAUUUGAACUAGUUCGAGGCUUAAUCGACUUAAUGAUACCAUUAGAGGCAAUAUCAUCUUUUAACGAUUUCUCAAACUUCAUAAAUAUGCAACCAUUCUAUUGAGCAUGUAAAUGACGUCGUAAUUAUUUUAUAGAGCAGGGUUUGACAAAUGUACCUUUGACAUACUUGAGAAUCCUCUUGGCAACCUUCAAAUGUAAAGUUGAAGGAUUUUGUAUAAACCUAGAUAACAAACUUGUAGAAAACAUUAUGUUAGGCUUGGUUGCAGACAAGUACAAAAGAGAGCCAAUCAUACUUUUGUAAACUUGACCAUCAACUAGAGUUAAGACAUCAUUUUUACUAAACUUGACACCAGUAAAUAGUGGAGUAGGCACAGUCUUGUAGAAGGUCAUGUUAAAUUUCUUUAACAAAUCCUUUGCAUACUUAGAUUGACGUAAUGCAAUCAAGUCAUUUGUCUGUACUACUUCCAACCCCAAAAAAUAAGUCAUUAACCCCAAAUCAUUCAUCUCAAAUUCUUUCAUCAUUUUCUACUUGAAUUCCACCAACACAUCAUUAUUAAGACCUAUGAGCAACAAAUCAUCAACCUAAAAAGCUAUUAUGAGUGCAAUUGAGCCAUUUGAAUAUUUCACAUACAAUAUUGACUCAUUAACACUUCUUUGGAAUCCUUGUCUUCUAAAAUGAUCAUCUAUUCUAUCAUACCAAGCACGUGGGGCUUGCUCAAGGCCAUAUAAUGCCUUAAUUAAUUUGUAGACCUUACCUUUAGAACUUUCUUCAAUGUAACCUUCAGGUUGCUUAAUAAAAUAUCUCUUGAUACGUAGCUAUUUAGAAAUGCUGAUUUGACAUCCAAUUGGUAAAUUAUCCAUCAUUCUCUUACUGACAAAGCAGUGAGCAUUCUAAUAGUAUCAUGCCUAGCCACAAGUGCAAAAGUCUCCAUAUAAUCUACUCCAUAAACCUAUGCAUACUCUUUGACCGUAAAACUGCCUUUAUAUUUGUUCACAGAACCAUCAAGAUUCAACUUUAUUCUGAAAAUCCAUUUGGCUCCUAUCACAUUUUGUCCUGCUCGUUUAUCCACUAGUACUUAAGUAUUGUUCUUCUUAAUCAUGUUGAUCUCGUUAUCCAUAGUAUCACCCAAUUUUUGUUUGUCACAGCUUCUCUGUAGCUGGUUCAAAAAUAGCUACAUUAGCCAUAUUGUAAAUCUCACUUAAGUUUCUAGUUCCUCUAACAACAAGACUUUCAUCUUCAAUAUUUUCAGAAUCAUUAUCAUCAAUCAGUUGUUGAUCUUUUUCAGUAUCAACUACUAGAUCAAAGUACUUAACAGUGACAUUUUGCCAAUUUCAUUUUUGCCCUUCAUCAAAGUUGACAUCCUUGUUGACAAACACUUUGUUUGACUGAACAACAUAUAGUCUAUAGCCCUUUGACACCUCAUUAUAACCAAUGUGCAUAGCAAAUAUCGACUUAGAAUCAAAUUUGGAUUUUCUCUCAUCAAGUAUUUUUGCAUAACAUGUGCAUCUAAAAACUCUCAAAUGAGCUAUAGAUGGUUUGUAUCCAAACCACAUUUCAAAAAGAGUUUUUUGAGAUAGAAUUUUGGUAUAUGCCCUAUUCAAUAUAUAAUUGGCAGAGUUUACUACCUUAACCCAAAACUUCUUUGGCAAUCCCAUAUGAUACAAUAAACACAUCCCCAUCUCAACCAAUGUUCUAUUUUUCCUUUCAAAUUUGCCAUUCUGUUAUGGAUUGUAGGUGAUAGUUAGCUGAUGUUGUACACCAUAUUCAGCCAGUAAUUUCUCAAAUUUUGCUACAGUGAACUCAGAACCAUUAUCACUUCUCAAUGUUUUAAUACUUAAGCUUGAGAAGUUCUCAACUAAUGUUUUGAACUUUGUGAAAUUCUUCAAAGCAUUAGGUUUUUGCUUCAAGAAAUAAACCCAGCAAUACGUAGUGAAAUCAUCAAGAAAUAGUAUAUAGUAUCUGCUUCCACUAAGAGAAUUUCAUUGAUCCACUUAUAUCAAUAUGGACUAACUCUAAUUUCUGAGUUGCUUUCCAACUACUUUUCUUAGGAAACAACUUCUUGGUUUGUUUAUAAAAUUGACAAGCUAAACACAAUGUUUCUUGUUUUGUGAUAUCAAGUAGGCCCUCAACUAAUUGACCAAAUGCCAUAUGAAACAGUGAACCAUAAUUCACGUGUCCUAACCUUUUGUGCCAUAGCUUAAACUCAUCCUUCUCAUUGUACAAAGUAGUAUGCUUAGUAUCUUUCAAGUACACAGGAUAUCAAUUGUUUUUCAUAUGAAUAGUAAACAUUUCUGCACCACAAGGAUCAAAUACAAUACAAAAUUUGUCUUUGAACAACAAAGCAUAAUGCUUAUCAGCUAAUUAUCCAACACUCAGUAGGUUAUAAUCUGCCAUAGCGCACACUUGUUAUAUGUUUCAUACUUGAUGUGGUUUCAACAACUACAAUACCAACACCAAGUACUUGCAGAUAUUCACCAUUUCCAAUUUUAACUUCAGAUAUCAAACUAGUAUCAAGAUCAGUAAACAAAGACUGAUUACUUGUAAGAUGAUGAAAACAAGCACUGUCCAAUAACCAAAUACUUGUCUUACCAGAAUCCGUACCCAUUUUAGCCAUAAACAAAACUUCUUCAUUCUUAGUCUCCUGCUUAGCUACAUCAGCCUGAGUUACAAGUUCUGUCAUUUUGUUCUUGCACACUCUUUCAACAUGCCCCAUUUGCUGACAGGCCUUACAUUUGACAUUAGGCCUAAACCAACUAUAUUUUUCAAUAUGAUUCUUUUUCUUGCAAUUUGAGCAAGGAGGAUAUUUACUUGUUGAUUUGCCUUGCUUCAAAUCAAUUGAUUUAGUUCCUUUUGAUUCAUUUUCUUGGAAUUAUUCCCUUUGAGUUUUAACCCCUUGGUCUUAGCCAUUAAGGCAUUUUCCACCAGAUCAUCAACUAUUAAGGCUCUUCUAUGCUCUUGAGCUAGUAGGGCAUUUAUAAGUUCAUUCACAAAGAUUUUAGUUAAGUCCUUAAAUUCUUCCAGAGAGGAUAUUAUUACUUCAAACCUUUCUAGUAAGCUGAUUAUGAACUUAGCUACAACUCUUCUCUCAAAAACAUCCUCUCCAAGAAACCUUAACUAAUUAACUAUCGUUAAGACUUUAUCAGUAUAAGCUUGAAUUCCUACUUCAUUUUUCAUUUCCUACAUUUCAAAUUCCUAUGACAAAAUCAUGAUCUAUAUCAUUUUAGUUCUCUCAUUCCCUUGAAAUUCAUCUCUUAAGGUUUCCAAAACAAGUUUAGGAUCAUCUAAAUUAAUAAUCCUAGCAAAUAUAGAAUAUGAAACAGCAAACUGAAGACAAAACAAAGCCUUAUACCUCUUAGCCACUUUUUUCUCUGUGUUGCUUGAUUUGAGUGAUUGUUGGGUUGCCAUGCCUUUGAAUUGAGAGCUUUCUAGUCUCUACUACAUCCCAUAAGUCGAACACCUUUAGGUAAGAAUGCAUCUUCAGGGCCUAAAUCUGGUAAUUAGAACUAGAGAAUGUAGGAGGAGAUGAGGUAGAAAAACCAACAGUAGCCAUUUUACUUUCUUCAAAUCUAUUGAUCAGCUUUAGGAAUGAAUUCUUAAGAAAAUAAACAGUCCCAUAAGAAUACUGCUCUAAUACCAUGAAGAGAUUUUCAGAGUGAAGUUUCUAGAAAAAUAAGAUGAACUUAAGAAUAAAGAGGAAAGCUUGAGUCAAUAGAGAAUAAUCAAAAUUUGGGGAAAAACUCUCAAUGGUUAUUUUCAUUAAGGUUAUAUAUCCUUGCUAAACGUACUGAGCUCUAUAGAUUUAGCCUUGGUUAAUGUGAAAAAUAAAAAUAGUCAGCUGAGCACAAAAAACAAUGGCAUUGUUUUCUGUGCUUUGCAACAGUAGCAACAACAUGGCUGUUAGGCGUUACAUUUGACUCAAAACCACAACACUAUUGUAAGUAAAAGGAAGAAACAAGAAACAAGAUUAAAAUGACAAAGCAUGAUACCGUAUGACACUAAGUAAAACUCAUAAGUGAAAUGACACAGAGACAGUCGUUUAGGCACUACAGUUUGGUAAAGUAAAAAGCAAAACUACACCGUUUCCUAGACUCAGUUCUUCAAUCUUCAAACCAUCGUUGGUUCACCCCAUUCUUCAUCUCCUUCACUUUCAAAGAAGAGAUUAAAUCUUCAACAAGCUUUUGUUUUUCAGCCAAGAAAUAUUUUCUCUUUAAAUGACAUGUGCAAGUCACACGCCACUUGUGGCUUUCUCGAUGCCAAAAACUUUCUCUAGGAGAUUGGAGUCUAUUGUGGUGGUCAACGUGCCAAUCAAAUACGUUGUAGAUCAUGACACGCACCGAACCAAGAGUGGAUCGGAUUUCUACAGUAAUUCAUCUUCAACUCUAGAGUUUGCUUUUAUUCAUUUUAGUCCCUAACUUCUUUUUGCUAAAUUUUUUGGUCAUACAAAUCCAAAUGAUGCAAAUGGUUAUAUACUAAAGGAAAGGUUGUCAAGGAAGGAUUCUAUUGGCGUAAAAAUAUUCAAGAAAGAAAAAUAUAAAACAAAGUUUAGGGUUUAACAACUAGGGUUUCAUUUUUCUCCUUCUUUACUCAUCACAUCAAAUUCAAAACUUUCAAAUAUUAAUAUAGAAGCAUAUAUUAGGAUCAUAUCAUGAAAUAGUUAACUCUAGAAAUAUGCUUUUUUACUAUUGUCAUUAAGGUGUCAUAAAAACUUCAAAAACUAGAUAAUCAUAAAACAUAGACAUAAUCAAUCAUUUCUAGCGUGUUAAUCAUGUUUUAUUACAGACCAUAACAGUAUGAAAACACACGAAUAAGCUGUAACAUCAAUGUAAAAAAACUAUGGAUGUAAUAAAAGUUCAAAAGAAUCUUACUCUAAUCUAAUAUAUAUUAGCCUUUUUUUUUUUCAAGAUUAAUCCAAAGUAUCUCCUAGAUUUUGAUUCUGGAUAUUUUACACGUAUAUUGAUCUCUGCAAAUUUGUCGUGAAAACCUACUACAAACACGAGCAGUGACAAACUUUGCCUAGUGCAAAAACCAUAGCUUGAAAAUGGAAAAAGGUGGGUGAAAAACUAUUACAAACACGAGCAGUGACGAACUUUGCUUAGGGCAAAACCUUAGCUUGAUAAUGGAAAAAGGUGGUUUUCAGGUUAAUUGUUUUUUUAAUUGUUCUGACUAUUGUGAUUGUGUUUUGAUGAAAAGUCUCAACUUAUUUAUAGAACCCCUUUUGUCGUAACUUUAAAUUCAUAGGUAAUCUUAAUAUAUAAUUAUCAUACAAUUAUUCAGAUAACUUACUUUACCAGGAUAAAGAAAGGGUAAAUCCUAAUCUUUUGGUAGACUUGGUUAGAUAAGCUGAACUAUCAUGAGUGUUGUCCAAGAAGUCUAGCAACAUAAAAACAUGUACAUGGAAAACAGUGUAGCAAAGCAAAGGCCGGCUUCUACUUCUACUUCUACGUAUGAAACCCUAAAGCCUAGCAAUAGCACACGUUAAUUUCAAUUUUAACAACCUUAUACAAAUCUUCUGCAAUGAUCAUUUAAAUUGUAUUGUUUUAUGAUUGAUGACUUGGUACUUGCCUUCAACGUUCAAAGUACUACAAACCCAAAAAAAGAAAAGACCAAGACCUCGUUGAAGGUACAUGCUUUAGGUUUAGUGUCUUAAUUAGGAGACAAUGUAACAUCAUUUUCAUUGGUUUGAAGAUUGUCCAUUGCUUGUUAACAUUGGCAGAGAAACUUUGUUAGAAAAAGUGGGCACAGCAUUUGCAAGGUUGUGGUCCUUGCCUUGGUUAAUUGGAGGGAAAACAUCGCCAGUAUCAUGGACAAAGGUUAGACGCAAUGUUGUUUUAGCAGUGCUUUACCUUAUCUCUAGAUUAAAUCUGUUUUGGUUGACCAUAUCUCUAGAAUGAUUCUUUUUAUGGUGUGUGGCAUGCUUCAUCUUGGUAAAAUGAAUGCGACCAGCGGUCAAAAAAGGAAAAACAAAAGUGAGAGAUUUUUUAUUUUCUUUUUUCCCCUCACUACUUAAAAUAUACAUAUAAGCAGAACUCUACUUGUAUUGUACGAGCUUAAGUUAAUUAAACAAGUAUUAAUAAAAAUAGUUUCUUUUCUUUCUUUAAUUAAUAAAAAUGUUUUGUUACAUGAAUUAACCGAGGUCUAAAAUAGAUUUUUUUAAUAAUAUUUUGUUAAUUAAGCAUGACACUGUUUUGUAUUCUCUUAAAUGAUAUUCUUAAUGGUACUUAAAAGGAUAUAUACUCACGUUAUGCAAAGCUUUUUUUCAAUUAAAAUUCAUUUCAGAAGUAAAUAAUUAUUUAUUUACUAGAUAAUGUUAGUUUUUAUAUUCUAGAAUACAUGCAUGACUUGGUUUUUACAUUAAUUAUUACACAUCAACUACUUUCUUUCUCUGAUUUUGAAUAUUUUCACAUGCUAUGUUUACUGUCCAGGUCUACAAGAAAUGUAGAUAGAUAUUGGGAUGUACUUAUAUUGGGAGACUGAUAGCAUAUGACAAAGUAUAUUUUCUUGAGUUGCCUUGGCGAGGUCAAAGUGGGUUUCACUUGGGAAUGCUAUUUUCUUUACCCAAUUUUAAAGAGUUUGGAUUUUUUACCCAAGUUCUAACCAUUAAGUUAUCUUAUUGGAGAUUAUAUUCCUUUGUGCGUUGUAGUUUAACCAUAUUCCAUACCUCAUGUUUUCUCUCUCGACACUCGUAUGCUCUACUACUACCAUACCUUUACACCCUACUCUUGAUUAAAAGCAUCCCACCUUCCACUACCUCUUAUGUACUUCUUCAGAGAAGCCCAUACUUACUAUAGUUUUUACCAACCCUUGUACGGUUUGUACCAAAACUCUUCAUGCACGUUUCUUCUUCUUUCCAGCAUAUCAUCUGAUGUAGGAUGAGUUAUCUUAUUGAGCGCAUCAAUUUAAUCUAUAUAUACAGCCUAUAAAUACACCAAACAUGACUCCAUUAAUGUAAAGACUUAUUCUCUUUUUAUCUCUGCCUCCAGUCUUCCUCCUAAUUAGUUGGAGGGGAAAAAUCAACCUUUUUAGACAUCUUUGACCUAUUACCAAAAAAAGUAAUGCUAAUCUGUACUUCAGACGGAUGCGCUACUGUCUAAUUACUCAUAUAGAUAUAACUAAUAACAAUUUUACAGCAUUUAUUGUCAUUUUUCUAUUAGUAGUCGGACAGUGAACUGUCAGACACCUUACUUCCCCUCAAACAAUAAUGCCCAAGCUUAAAUUCCUAUAAGGACUCUGUAGUCCUUCUUUCUGCCCUGUCUCUAUUCUAUGUUAUCACGAAGUUGCAACACUGCCUCACAAUCCAUCUAUAGUACUGAUUACUUUCAUGAAUCACGAAUAAUUAAAACGAUCAUGUAUUAAAUAAUUAAUGUUACGAUCAAUUACACUAAUUAAUCAAGGGUCAAUUAUAUAUUUCAGCAAAUCGCUACGUUCACGAAUAAAUACUAUAUAUUCCAAAAAAUAAUUCAUAUAUAAAUGUUGACUGAUGUUUUUCUCUAAGUGCAUGCCGCAAAUAAGAACUGCCUCACGUUGUUAUUCAUGCAUUUACUGCACAUGAUGUGAAAUUUCAUAUAUAUAUAUAUAUAUAUAUAUAUUGAGAUUGUUCGUCAUCUAGAGAUACAUGGUUGAAAAUUAAACCAAAUUUGACUUCAGUUGACAUUUUUAUUCAGACUUGCAGCAGUGAGUCCAAGGAAAUAUAACCAGCAAUGUAUUGUAUGAUACUUUGCCAUGGGAUGUCAUCUUCAUUCACACACGCUCUGGUACUGGAGGAACUUAGAGUUUAUUUGAGGCAGAUUUUCAAUGGCCGGAUAAUGCCCCACAACAGAUAUGGCUCAAAGCCAAGAAAGCUUGGGAUAUUCUGCAUUGUCGAGAACAGAGAAUGAAGUCUGAAAUUCUAGUAGCCUGGGUCAAAACAAGUUAUCCUUAUGUGAAGCUAAACGUGGAUGGUAGUGCAAAAGGCCAACCGGGCGAUGCUGUAGCUAGAGGAUUAGUCAGGGACGAAAAUGGAAAUUGGUUAUUUGGGUUUGUCUAUUUCUUUCUCACUUGGAGCAAAGCUUUGGGCAAUUUUAAAGGGUUUAGAAUUAUGCUGGGAAAGAGGCUUUAGACUAGUCUUGGUAGAAACUGACUCUUAAACUCGCUAUUCAGAAGCUAUCUCAACAGGGGUUUCAUUUGGAUUCAUGUGCGAGCAUUGUGAAGAUUAUACAGAAGCUUCUCCAGGGAGAUUGGUCUUGUUUUCUCACUCACGUGUUGCGUGUAGCUAAAUAGUUACGUGGACUGGAUAUAUGGCAACUAACUAUAAUAAUCUUCCUUUAGGUCUACAUGUUUUUGAGGUCCCUCCACCAAAUAUCUCCUCCUUGUUAUGAGCUAAUAUAUUAGGUAUAUCUUGGGCCAGACUUAUGUAAUUUGAGUUUUUUAUUGAAUAGAUGCCUCCCUUAAUUAAAAAAAAAAAUCAUAUUUUAAAUGGAACAAGUUGAAGAUCAAUUACGCCCGUUAUCAUUUUUCUUUAUCUUAAAUUAUAGUCAACCAUCAUAUAGUAUAAGAGACUAAUAUAUAACUACAGGCUCUAACUUGCUCAAGACUUUGUCUUUCUUCUGCUGACUUUUUUUUAUACAUAUGUUAAAUAAUCAAAACAUCUAGUGAUGUGUACGUCUCUACGAGUAUUUCUCGAUAAUGGGCUUGUUGUGAAUAAAUUUAUACGCAUGAAGAAUUGUCGUUUCCUUUCUAUAUAUUGAACGAAAUUUUAAAUUUUCCUGUAAAAAAUUGUCUAAAAUAAAUUGAAGAUCACGUUGAUUAUAUAGGAUUUUCUUGCAAAUUACGUCUUCAACAUUAAUCUUAAUUGACCUAUGGUGAUUAUGAUAAUCUUGUCGUCGUGCUGUUAUUUGCAGCAUUGAACUUGCAGUCCCUUGCUCUCUUUGAUUUGUAUUUCCUUGUAAAUUAAUUAUAAAAGGAACAAUUUUUUUAUGGCAUAAAAGGACUGCAGAAAGGAAUCGUUUAUGAUGGUUCUAGAAUCAGGAUUUAUCGUUUUGCAUAUCUCAUAUGAAUGUCAUCUAGUACUUUUUUUCCUCGCUUUUUAAGAUUAAGAGCACUAUUUGUGAUAAACCAAAAAAAAUUUGUUGAGUAAAAUGUAUUUAAUUAAGAUGUACCAAGACUUUGAUUAAACAAUACAUUUCUAUGGUUUUCAUUCUUUAAUAAUCAAUUCUAGAAAAUCCAUUGGAUUACCUACCCUGUUUUGGACCCUGCGAUACAAUAUUAGAUCCAAGCACAUUGGGACCCCAGCUUGGUCUAACAAAGUUAGGCUUGAGUUUUGAGGAAAAAACAAUUAGAGCACAAUUUAAAAAUUCAUUUAAUUUUUUUUUAAAUUUUACUUUUAUAAAGCAAUAAAAUUUAUCAAUAAUGCAAAACAGUGAUAUCAUUAGAUCAGGUUUAGUAUGUGAAGUGUCAAAAGAUUACGUAGAUUAAUUAUUUUAAAUGAUGAAACUCUCUAUGCCUUUCCAAAAAAUUUAUCUAGAUUAAAUAACGAAAAUUUAAUGAUUCAUCAUCUGUGUUGUUUAAUUAUAUGCUAGCUGCUACUUUAAUUUUUUCGAUAUAAUAUAUUUUAAAAAACUCUUCAACUAUUUAAAAAUAUUUCAGUAAAUCUUUAUUCUUCUAUUAUGUUGAAUCAAACUUUUAUAUUUUUAUUUUGGAUCAAAUAAACUCUUAUGAUUAAGGGUUAACUAAUAGUUAUUAGUUAAAAUACUACUUAUCAUUUUAUACCUAUGUGGUAACAAUAUAGCGUUGAUAUAGAGGGUAAAAAAUGUUAUAUGACUAUAUCAUCAUGUGACACCAUUAUUCAUAAUGAUAUGUCAACAUAUCACUUUAACAUCAUGUCGUUUAAAAUAACAAGUGACUUCUCGACUAACAACAAUGAAUUUAUUUGACUCAAAAUAAAAAUAUAAAUAAUUAAUUAAAAUCAUAAAAAAAUAAAAAUUUAUUUAAAUUUUUUUGAAUAAUUCAAAAACUUUUUUAAAUAUUAAUUAUUUUUUUUUGUAACAUAUGUUUAACUUUUGUCUUAUAAAUCUUACCACAUCCAAUUCAAGAUUUAAAUUUGAAAAAUUUGAAGAUAAAGUUUUAUAUCUUAAUAGUUGAAAUAUUCCUUGGGUGGUUAAUGAUACUGUCUCUUUUGAAUUUUUAUGCAAACAUUAAAGCAUAAAAAUGAUGUUAAUUUUGACCAGCUUGUCUUAAAAUAUAAUGAAGAAAUGUGUCGAAAGGGUCCAAGCAUCCUCUUUUCAUUCCCACCAAUGGCUGGCUAAAAAUGCAUACCAACAACUCAUUGCCAACACAUAUGCUGCGACAAUACAUGCAGCCUGCACAUACCUCCAUUUUGGAGCAGAUGUCACAUUUUAUCUUAUCUUCCAUUUUUGGGUAUGAGCAGCUGAGCAAAUACACCACCAAUACCACAGCCUCAAAGCUUUUGGAUCAUUUAAAUAAUUUGAAGUGACUUUAUCUUUGAUAUUCAAGUUUGACUUUAAAAAUAUAAUCAAGAUUUGAUUUGCUCAAUAAUUACCGCUAAGGAAUUCAAAAUCUAAUUGAUUUAACUUAAAUAAAGUUUAAGAAUAUAUAAUUAAUAAACAUUAUGUUUUCCUUGAACCGAUCCUCAUUUUCCUUUCAUCAUAGUAAAAGGGCUUCCUGUCACUUCGACCAUAAAUAAGUAAUAUUCUGACAAUAAGACUUUUUGUGUCUGUGUGUUUUUUUUUUUCGUUUUCUCAAGGGAGGAUAUUGAAAUUAUAACAUUAUACACCUUAAUCCCCAAGGUUUGUGUCCCUUGUCAUAUCUUAGUGAUUAAAUGCUCAUUUUCAUUUGCAUUGAGUUAAUCAUUAUGUAAUAAAUGGAAAUUGAUAGCAUUUAUAUAAAAAAAGUUGACAGCGUUAAGUGCAUGGGAAAUGAAAUUUGAUGGCUAAAUUCAAUUUAAUUCUGAUUUAAUUCAUAUCUAAAUUCAAUAUCAAUUAAAUGUGAACUCAAGUUAUAAUUAAAAAUCGCAUCAUAAAGUGUAGGUGCAUUGAAAAAAUAAAUAAAAUGGUAAAAUUGGAUUGCUUCAAUAAAACAAAUACACAGCUCAUCGAGAAGAAAAUCAAAGGAAAAAGGGGGCAGGCGGCCUAGUUGCUUCCCUAAACCCUAUUAAGUAACCCACAAAAGCGCCAACCCCAACCCAGCCCUCAUUGGCGUCCCAAUGGUUGGAUCAUCAUUUGGUGCUACGCUUUUUUGAGUAAAAAUCACAUAAAUGAGGGUUAAAGACGGGCACUGUGACUUCCUAUUUAUGUCCCGCACUGCAUUUAAGCCUUUUACUUAACACUCUCUUGUCUCUCUCACAUUCAUUAAUUAAGCCUUUAUCAUCCACACAAAUAUUUUCAUCUGCCCCCUCCCCCUUCUCCUUGAAACCAAUCAAGUAUCCUCUUUUUGACUCCUUUCGCUUCUUAACUCCCUGUUUCCUUAAUCAUUUAACAAUAAUAAAGAGGAUCUGUUGAACUGCAGAACUUCUUUUCUGAGCUGGGUUUUCCUUUUUCCUUACAAGGCUUCUUUUCUUUCUUUGUUGCUAGCUAGCUCCUGCAUGAAACAGAGUUCCCUCACUUGCUUGUCACUAUUGCAAUGAAGUAUAUCAGAACCAACAGCUUCAAACGGUUGUUCUCAUUAAAAAGACGCAGUUUUGAAGAAGAUGUUGCAAACACCCAACAUGGGGUUUUUGAAGAAGAAGAAGAAGACAACCGCAAAGAAAGCUCCAAGAUUGUUUCAGUUACAGAGCAUUCUCAGAGACCUUCGUGGAGAUGCUUCUCCUUUCAAGAAAUCUCUCUUGCCACCAAUGCUUUUAGCUCAGGUUUCUUUCAACUGUUCAAGCUUUUUUCCCUCAAGUUUGGUUGUUUUUUUUUUCUCUUCUGGGUGUUAAUGUUUUUCAUUUUAUUAUUUGGAUAAGCAGAGAAUUUGGUAGGCAAAGGAGGGUAUGCAGAGGUAUACAAAGGAGUGAUGAAGGAUGGGGAGGAGAUUGCAGUGAAGAAACUAACAAAAGCUUCAACUGAUGAAAGGAAAGAGAAGGAUUUCUUGACUGAAAUUGGAACUAUUGGUCAUGUCUGCCACCCAAAUGUAUUGUCACUUUUAGGCUGUUGCAUUGACAAUGGCCUUUAUCUCAUCUUUCAGUUCUCUUCCAAAGGCUCUGUUGCUUCUCUUCUCCAUGGUAUCAAAUGCAAAAUCUUGGGGUUUUCUUUAAUCAAAGUCAACUGGGACAUUUCUGGGUUUUGGUAUGUUUUUUCUCUUCCUUUUUUAUUGACUUUUUGUUGCUGCAGAUGCGAAUUUGCCAUCAAUGGACUGGAAAACAAGGUAUAAGAUUGCAAUUGGUACUGCAAGAGGACUCCAUUACUUACAUAAAGGAUGUCAAAGAAGGAUAAUUCACCGGGACAUUAAGUCUUCGAAUAUUCUAUUGACUGCAGAUUUUGAACCUCAGGUGCCUAUAUCAAAUUUGCUCUGUUUGACUUACUUUGAUCAGACUAAUUGUGUUCUAACUGUUUCUUCAUAAUUUUAUGUUAUAGAUAUCAGAUUUUGGACUAGCAAAAUGGCUUCCUUCUCAAUGGACACACCAUUCAAUUGCUCCAAUUGAAGGGACAUUCGGGUACUAUAUUCUACAAACCUUUUCUCCCUCCUUUUUAAAAGAAAGCAUAACGAUGAAUUUGGUUUAAAUGGCUAUGCUACAUGUCCUGUAGGCAUUUAGCGCCUGAGUACUUUAUGCAUGGAAUUGUGGACGAGAAGACAGAUGUGUUUGCAUUUGGAGUUUUUUUAUUGGAGAUUAUUUCAGGGAGGAAACCAGUUGAUGCUUCUCACCAAAGCUUGCACUGCUGGGUAAUGCCUCUCCUUAAAUUAGAACAUCAUCCUUCCUUAACCUUUGUUAGUAAAGAAAUAGAUGGUUAUGUGAAUUUCAUGCCUUUAUUAAUUGUAACCUUCUGAACUCAAUAGGCAAAACCACUCUUGAAACGCGAUGAGAUUGAAAAAUUGGUAGAUCCAAGGCUCCGAGGGGCCUUUGAUGUUUCGCAGCUAAAAAGACUUGCCUUCGCGGCAUCUCUCUGCAUUCGAGCAUCUUCAGCUUGGCGUCCUACCAUGAAUGAGGUAUUUUAUCUGCUAUGCUGGACCAUGUCAUGUGCAUCACCAGUAAUUCAAUUACUUGCACAUGUUCAUCAAUGAAUACGAAUUUAUUGUUGACCCCAUGCAUCCAAAUCUGGUCUUGCACAUACAUUUCUUAUAGGAUGAUGUAAUUUUCAAAGGCUCUAAUGUUCCUGACGAGUCAUACGCAUUUCAGAUGCUGACUAUCGCUUCAAUGCCUAGCAGUCUAUUUAAUCUUUGAAAUUAAGUUCCCUUGACAGAUACGAUGAUAUUUGCAUACCAGUGGUGCACUUCUUCUUCCCAUAAUACAAGGCUUUAAUUCAAUGCAUUUCGUCCUUCCAAUUAGGAAUGCAGAUACACUAAGCUUGAGUUUUGAUCAAUAAACAAAACUUCCUGAUGAGGAUCAUUAGAUUAUGAAUACAAUAGUUACCUUAUAGUUUAUAGCUAAGUGACUGACAGUAUUCAUAUAGGUGUGUUCUGGUAUUUAAAAAACACCAACUUUGUUAAUAUAUUAUGAUUUUGUCAGCUGUCAUCUUCUUAAAAUUAUGGUGGUUCGCCUGUAAUGACUUUGCACAUCCUUUUCACUGGUAAGGACUGCAACAUGCAAACUUAGAUUUGGUCAUUUUUUGGUGCUGGAGAUGGGCAUAUAUCCGGUCUUUUACGCAAUUUUAAUCACUCAGAGGAUGUUCUAUCCUACCUAACCUAAACCUUGAAGCUAAUACAGAAACUAAAAUAUGACAAACCCAUGUGAUUACAAGGAUCAGAAAAUCAUUACAAAAUGAUUGGAAAAGCGGGUCCUGUUUUGACUUAUCGUUGCACCAUAGUGUAUUUUAAACAUAAAAUACGUGUGUAAUUACCCUUUUCUCUACAGUUAUGAUUAUUUGCUUUGAAAUUUGGGACUACCACUUGCUGAAGCAACUGAAAUGGAAGUGCAAUUUGUCAAAAAAUAUUAUAUAUAGAAUUCCCAAGUAAUGCUGCUAGAUUUUUGUUCAUUUAAAGCUUAAACGUGUCAAGUGCAUUAAAAAGAAGGGGAUACAACACCAGCCAAGGCUAAUAUAUAUGUUAACCCGAAAAAGUCAUGAUAGAAAUAUGUAAUUAUUGAGCUCAUGGGCCUCAUUUUCUUGUCAUGAAUCACAUAAAGCACAUGUUGCACAGGCACCCUUUUUGACAAUUCAAAACUUAUGCAUAUAUGAUGACAAAAUACUUUAUUUAUUUCUUUAGCCAAUUCUUCAAGUCAAAUUUCGCUUCUAUAUCCAAUGAAACCCUUGAAGCAAAUUCUUUUCCUGUUAAUUGAUAGGUUUUGGAAGUUCUUGUGGAAGGUGGUGAUACUGAUAAAGAGAGGUGGAAAAUGCCAGAAGAAGAAGAGGACCAAGAAGAAUUCUGGGGCUUUGAGGAUCUUGAAUAUGAAUGUCAUAGUUCUUUCUCAGUUUCUCCAGAAGAUUCAAUCUCUACAAGUUCUUAGAGGGAAAUUGAUCCAAGUGCUAAGAAAAUCCCAACCACUGCUAUUGUCUUCAUGUAAAUACAAAUAUUGUUGCAAUUAUAAAUACAUAUAUAGAGUGAACUAUUACAUCAAAACUUCCCCUUCAGUAUUAGACACUCAUUUCACCUUCUAUGUCCUGCUUCCAAUAAAUGCCCAAGGAAACCUCCAACUGGAAAAGGGUAAAGAAAAUGUCAAAUGGAUGGGAAGAGAUAUAACAAAAAAGUGUCAACCAAUGCGUUAAUAAGUCAUCCCAAAAAUAGUAAUGCCAUUUUGUCCCAUUUUUUAACUUGUACUACACACAAAUGAUAUGCAAAAUAAUACUUUAACCAUUUAUUUCUUGCAAGUAGUCGAAUGAUCUGAUCAUAAAAAACUCAAGCCUGUAUAAUGUUAUGAGUUAAAAUGAAAAGAUUGGUUUAAGCUUCCUUUUUUGUGUGGAUAGACAAUGAAGUGCCUGAAAAGGAUGAGUAUUAUUGCUCAUUGAUGGAAACACCAAUUAUUAUUAGUACUGUCAUGUCGGCUCCCUCAUGUUGCUGAUGAAUUUUUGUGAUAAGAAGUGAAAGAAAUCUCUUAAACGAAAAAAAUAAAAAAACAACUGCAUUAGUUACUAUCAAUAAUAACUACAUUAAUAAUUAAAUAAUAACCAUACUAAGGAUGGUUCAGAACAAUGACAUAACCCAAAAAUGAGCUAAUGAGUCACCUUGUCAUGCCAGGUAUUUUUUUUUAGUCCUAUCCCAAGUCCUGGUAGGGACUGCCCCUGGUGGAACCCAUGCCAGAUGUGCAUCUCAAAUUAUGAAUCACAUCUUUCCUUCUGGGGCAUAAUUUGGGGUUCUCUAAAUUAUUCUCCAGACAUAGCCUGGUCAUCUCUUUUCAUAGGCUCAAGUCCCAACAUAACAUUUCUCCUUAAAUUCCUUUUUUUAAUCCAAUGGUAGAAUAACUCAUAACAUAAUGAGCGAUAUUCUUUUCCUUUAUUUAAUUCUAUGUUGUUGUCUUGUUAAGAAUGAGUUUGGUCUUUAUUUUUUGGGUAUUAAACAAUCAAAGAACUAAUAAUGGGAUCUCAAACUAAAAACUUUUGUACAAAAAAAGUUAGCUUAUAAAAUAGUAGUAACCUAUUUUCCAAUGGAAUACUUAAACAGUUUGAAUUUGAGAUUUCAUUUGAAUAUUUCGAACUCAAAUAUUAAAAAAAUUAUAUAAAAUGAAAAAAAGAGAGAUUCUUUUCGAUUAUGCUACAAAAAAUAUUCAUGUGUAAAAGAAAAAUGCUGACCCAAAAAUGAUUAAGGCCUCAAAUGUUUCUUAAUGGAUUCAAUAAUGCCGUUGAGACAAGGAUUCUAUACUAGGAACAAUAGAGAGAUUGAGUCUAUAUAAUAUAUACAAAGUCCAUGCAAUGAUUUAGUGUUGUAAAAUGGAAGCAAGAACACAUGGCGGUUGAUGAACAGUUAGACUUGCCCUCCUGAUAAUGGGGCCGGCACAGGGACAAAUUAAUGCUCCAAAAGAACAAUGAGACCCCAGAAAAAAUGUGUUAGUUGAACGCUGAGAGUGCUUGUUGUUUACGAGUUAGGAGCAUCUUUAACCUUAUUUUAGUCUGAUUUUAAUGUUGACGAGUGGUUUAACUUAUAAAGACUCAAAGGAACUGGCAGUGCAACGACAAAUGAUAUCCCAUAAUUCAUUCACAAAAUCGUGGCGUUUUGUAUAGCAAACAGUUGUUCAGAUAAGAUUAAUUAACGAAGGCAACAUUUCCUUUCCAGUGAAUUGAUUAAGUUAUCCAUCUUUUACGAAUUACAAUAAGUUUUUUCUUUAUCAAAACCCUCAUAUAAAUUAAGGGUCUGAUCGAGAUUAAGGAAAGUGUUAAAUAUAGAAACUAAGUGACAAUAAUUUUUAUUACCAUUUUAAUAAAAAUUGGAUGAAUGUUAGAGAAAGAUAGACCGGUGGAAGAAAGAAAGUAAUGGAGGUAGGUACAUCUUUACCAACCUUCAUUUUCAUUUUAUUUUUUCUGUGUGCAUUGUAUUCUGCUGGCGGAUGGAAUAUUGAAUGGAUGAAAAAUGCAUUCAUGGUCUUUAAACCAUAAAAUUUAUGUAUCUAGAAAGCAUAUAUAAUUAAUAGUGUACAAAGUAGCUAGACAGCUCAUCGACAAAUGUACGUAGAAACUAGAAAGCAUUCAUUACUAAAUAGUCAACUAGCUGAUUAAUUCGGUUGGGAUUCGUAAGGAAUUUUGACUCUCAUCUCAUGUUAUUAUCAAGCCGGAUACUAAUAUUUUUUCUGGAAAGAAAUAGAAAAUUUUUCUUGGGUUGGCUCAACAGUAUGAUCCUGUUUUUUGCAAUCCAUACUUUUUGUUUAAUUAAUAUAUUUUAAUAGGAAUUCUUUUUUUAAAAAGAAACUGUUGUUAAUUACUUUUCUUAUUUGUUUGAGGCCGGAUUUUCAAAAUUAGUAAAAUUUUAUCAAAUUAAGUUGUGUUGACUGAGUUAAAAGCAACUAUACAUGAUAACUUUUAACUACAAGUCAUGUCAUAAUUUAUUGAAUUUAUAAUUAAUUCAGUAACAGACCUAUCUAAUAAUUUUUCCUGUAUCAAUAAGGGUUAAUUUCCUGUAACCAUCUACGGUUUAAAAGCAAUUAAUUAAUUAAUUAGAGUAAUAAUUUGCUAGUGUCAUAUCAAUUGUAAGAAAUUGUAAGAAAACUUCCUUUUCUUUGGUGGAAAAAGAGGCAGCUAGCAAAAGACUGAUUUUGCCUAGAACCAUAACUUUGUUGUUGAGACGGAUGACAACUUAUUCUAUCACUACCAAGUUUCAAAGUGAAUGUACUUGUCAAGUAGUUGCAGAUCGACAGUCCAAAUUUGGCCCAACAUCCAAAGUCCAUAUAUAUACUAGCUUUAAACUAAUGAGUAGAGGAGCCGCUGAUAUUCAACGGCAGAAACAUAAACGUAUUAACAUAUAUAUGUCCCCUCUCAAACUUAUUAAUUAAUGAUGUAGAUAGAAACUCAGUUCUAUAAUUGAUCUCCUUGGCCUAAAUGAGAAUUGGGUGUUACUAUAUCUUUUCUCAAUUCCACAUAUUAUUGGGUCCUCUCUGAAAAAUUAGAGUUAAUGAUCAUCUUGCAGUAUUCAAGCUAUUUUAUACUGGUGACAGUAGUAGCAUAGAAAUAAAUAAUAGAUGCAUGUCAUGACAUUUUUGGGAAAAUCGAUAUUGAUUGAACAGUGAAAUGACCAGAAAUAUUGCUAUAUUUCUCAAAGAACAAUUGAAUGAAUACAAGGGUUUAUUUAUAUUGUUGGUCUCAAGUAAAUGUGCUGAGGGGGGUGAAUAGCACUUUUUGGCUCUUGGUAAGAUGAGGAACUAAUUUGAAAAGUAAUGAAAAUAAAAAUAGAGUAGACAAUGCGUAGAAAUUUAGAGUGGUUCAGUCCAAAACCUAUAUCUACUACUUUGAUUAUUCAACCAAGGAUUUUUCAAACUAAUCCACUAUGAACGGUGAAAUUCACAAGCUUUCACCAAACUUUUACAAUGGCUUUUAUCAGGCUUAGCCAAAACACACAACCUAACUUUUCAAGGCUAAGUUAGAACCUAUACCCAAUCAAGCAAUCCUAGCUUGAAUCAAUCCCUUAGAGUGACUUUUUCACUCUAAGAAUACAAAGAGAGAAGUGAUGAGAGUGUACCUAUGAUCACAAGGUUGAUCUAAGUGGUACAAAGUGAAGUGCAUAUCACAAUUACAAAGAUAAGAGUUGAGUGCAGUAAAUGAGCAAAGAGUAUUUGCAGGUUUUUUAGCUCUUUUGUGUUCUUAGAAGCCUUCAUUACAUUUCUAGCCAUUGAAACCCUCUUUUAUACUUGAAAAAUCAACUCUGAAGUGUUUUAGACAGUUUUUGACCGUUGAAAAUAGUUUUGUUGCAGUUCUAGCCGUUAAUCUAUCUUCUAGUGCACAAUUUAAAUUUUCUGGAAGAAUGCUCUUAGUCGACUAACUUAUGUCUUAGUCGACUAAGUUGUCUCUAUUUUCUAUUUCUAGUUUUUGACAGUAAGUACUUAGUCGACUAACUUAUUUCUUGGUCGACUAAGUUGGUUCUAUCUUGAAGUUCAGAUUUCUAACAGUAGCUUCUUAGUCGACUAACUUAUUCCUUGGUCGACUAAGUCUUUUUUGUUUCUCAAUACUCUUCAGCUCGCCAACUUCUAGUUUAAAUCUUAGCUGACUAACUCUUCAUUAAUCGACUAAGGGGCUUCUGUCUUAUUAAUCAAUUGUGACUUCCUUAUUCUUAUGCUCUUUGAUAUGUGCAUUUGAAUGAUUGAUUAAUUAUUUGCAUACAAUUUUUGUCCUGAACACUCAAGUAGAAAUACUAGAUACAAAUGAAUGGGAAUGUUUUAUUAUCAUCAAAAACUAAUGAAGCCAACAAUCUCCCCCUUUUUGAUGAUGACAAAACAUUCCUUAAUUAACAGCACAGUGUCUUUUUAUUCUUUUUCAGUUCUGCACAAAAUGGAGGUUUUCCUCCCCUUAAGUGUGUGCACCCCCUUAGUGUGUGUAUAGUUUUAUUAUUCAUUUCAGCAUGUUUUUAUUCUUGUCAUACAGAAAAUGACAUGUAAAGGUUCAAAUUGAUGACAGAAUAUAUUUAUACAAGCUUGUGGAAUAAUAAGCAAUAAGUGACACAGUGACAGAACAUUAUUACUAUUUCAACUUGCCAUCUAUCAUAUUGUUUCCAGACUUAAUUCAUUCGAAAGCUAAAUGCCAUAAACCAUCUAGUCAAAAAUAUUAGCAUUCAUAUUUAUUUUCAUCCAAAUCUCACUCACAAUAUCGUAUCAACUAUUAAUGAUCAGCACAACAGCUCAAUAUCAGCACCAAAGUAACAGCAUAAACUCAAUGGCAAAUACUCUAAUAACAGAUUUAAAUAUUCAACCAUCAACUUGUAGACAUAAACAGCAAUAAACCACAAUGUCUUUCAGCAUUCAAAAACAUCUAACAUCAAAGUUAAAUUUAAUUGUUCAACUGUCAAAGAAAAAAAUAGCAAGAAAAUAAAAACAGUAGUCAAUAUUCUUAAAUUACCCCAAGUUCUUUUCUACCCUCUUUCUAUCUCCCUAGUUUCCUAUCUCUUAAUUCUCUCCCUUUUUGUCAUCAUCAACUCUGAAGGGGGUUUCAAUCCUCUGAAGAGGUGGAAGGAUUAAAUUCAUCAAUGCCAUAAAAAACAUUUAAAGGUUCGGGAUAGGGUUUGGGUGGUGAUUUUUGUGGUGAUUGUUCAGGGGAUAAUUUAUCAAAAAUUUCCAAGGGGUCUUGGGGAGAUGAAAUAGUUGCUGGUUUAGCCUUUUCAACAAUUUUGGAGGAUUUUCUUCUUUUGAGGAAUCUGGUCUUGGUUGCCAUUGUUUUCAUCCCUUUGCUAGGAGGUUUUGAUUUGGCUUGUGGAGCUACAGCAGCUUUUUUUUUUCCUUUACCUGAUUGUUUUUCUACUGUGACAGCUGGUUCAGUGGAUGCAGACUUCUGUGCUUGAGCUUCAGCUGCUUCCUUUUCUGCUUGCUCUUCCCUAACCAUCUAAUGGAAAAUGUCCAUGAUGCAUACUUCCUCAGAAUGAGGAGGAGAAGGCUGCUCUUUUUGAGGUUCUGUAGGGGAUAGGGGAUUUUCAUCAAAUGAGCCAACCACCUCAGUUCCUUGUUCUAACUCAGCUUCCUUUGGAGGCUCAAGUGAGGGGGUUUUUCUUGGUUGAUCCACUUCAGGUUCAUGACCCUCGACUUGAAAAAGCAAAACCUUUAGCACCUUGUCCUUCUUCAAGACUUGGAGUUGCAGAGGUAUCUACAGCUGCAGGUUCAAAAGGCAUUUUUCCUUUUUCCUUCAGCACAUUUUCAAGCUUUGCCAAUUUCUUUUCAAUUUUCAGCAUCUUUGCUCUUUGGUCAGUCAGCUUUCCAUCAAUCCUCAUGAGCAGAUUAAAAGCCAUCUCAUUAGAGAACUAAGAUGAGGAUGCUUCAAGAUGUGCAAGUAGAGAAGUUUCUUUUCCAAUAACAACCUUGGGGGUUUUAACAAAGGUUUCUCCAUCUAGCUUAUACCCCAUUUUAGGCAAACUUUAAAGGAAAAUGGCUUGGUCUCUACUUUUUACUUUAUUUGCUUCAUACUUAAAGCUCCAAAUACCUUUCUUCUACACUAGAGAUGUGAUAAUAUUUUCAUAAGGCAAAUUUAUUUUCUCCAGUCGACAUGCUCCUCUCAUUCUCUCAAUCAUAAAUCUGCCCAGAUUCAGUGAAACACCACUGAAUGCAUGCUCCAUUAGCCAUAGAUCUUGGAGGCUAAUGUAGCUAAAACUUCCACUCUUGCCAUGAAUGUUCGUAGCAACAAAGUAAUGCAAAAUUCUAAUUUGAGAACUUGUAAUAAGGCCGACAUUACUUUUGAAAGAGUAUUUUUCCUUCUUCCUUGUGAUAAUUUCCCAUAGGAAUUAGGGGUUAUAAUUUUCAAGGAACUCAAACUCACCAUCCUCACAUUCGAUUUUGAGUAGGCUUCCUAAAUCUGUAGCAGUAAUAGUAAAUUCCUUUCCAUUCAAAUAGACAUUCAGACCAUCCUCAAUAUAAUCAUCAGAGUCCUUAAGUUCAUCCUUGUUUAGUGCUAUACUUGCAUAAAAUUCUUUAACUAAACUAGCACUGUAGGAUCGAUUCUUAAAUGUACUAAACUUCUUCAGUUUUAAUUCCUUAAAAUAAUCUGAUAAGCUUGUUUGAAUUUUUAGAAUUUCAUUAAAACUGUCCCAGUCAAUGAAUUUACCAUAAGUGAUAGGGGCAUUCUCUAAUUUUCUGUAUCUAUCUUCAUGGGCUUUAUUUCUAAACUUGGAGGAUGAGAUGUUACCUUUCGUAGAUGAUUUUUCCUUUUUUUUCUUCUUCUUUGCUUUCUGUUCCUUUUCUUUCUGUGAUUUUUUAGAUUUUUCACUUAUAAAUGUAGACACAAUUUUCGAUUUUUUCUUCUGCAUUUUCACUUGCAUGCCUUCUUCCAGUGGCCGUUUACCUUUUUUCUUCUGAACAAUCUCUUUGGUUAAAGAGGAUUUUGCCAUUUUGUUUUAAAAGAUUUCUAACUGAGGGUUUCGAGAAUUUGAGUGGGUAGGUUUCAGUUUCAGGUGGGUCGGUUUCAGAAGAGAGAAAAUGUAGAGGAAAUGAGUUAAUGGCAGUUUAAUCUCUCCAAAAACCAUUUGUCUCCCCCUUAAAUAUUGUCAGUUUUUCUUCUGUUCAAAAUUUGAAAAUUGCCUCUCAUUUUUAUUUUUCAACUGGGCGGUAUUUUGUGCCCAUUUCCUUCACCUGGUAUACUAUUUUUUUUAUUCAUUUUCCUCUAACUAACUGAGCCUUAUUAUUUAAAGAGACAGAAUGCUCUUAGUUGACUAAGUGUCUGUCUUAGUUGACUAAGUGCCCAUUGUCUUUUGAGAAAAUUUUAAAAUUUUUCCUAAAGCUCCUGCAUACUGACCAUUCCUAAAUUUCUUCUAAUCUCAUAGAAUCUAUCCUCAUUUAAAGGUUUUGUGAAGAUGUCAGCUAAUUGAUGUAAAGUAUUUACAAACUCAAUUUUAAUGUCACCUUUCACUAUGUGAUCUCUAACAAAAUGGUGUCUAAUCUCAAUAUGCUUAGUCUUAGAAUGUUGCACAGGAUUUUUUGAAAUGUUGAUUGCACUUGUAUUAUCACAAUAUAUUGGUAUGUUAUGCAUUGAUAUUCCAUAGUCUUUUAGUUGUUGUUUAAUCCACAAGAUUUGAGCAUGAAAGUUGCCUAAAGAUACAUAUUUGGCUUCAACUGUGGACAAGGCAACUAAAUUCUGCUUAUUGCUUGACAAUGACACAAGCAUACGACCUAGAAACUGACAAGUUCCACUAGUACUCUUUUUAUCUGUUUUACUACCAGCAAAAUCUGCAUCAGAAUAUCCAACUAAACUAAAGGAUGAUUCCUUAAGAUACCAUAUUCCUAAAGUUUGUGUAUCUAAGAGGUAUUUAAAAAUUCUUUUAACAGUAAUCAGAUGUGAUUCCUUGGGUUGAGAUUGAAAACGAGCACACAAACACACAGAGAAUUGAAUAUCAGGCCUGCUGGCUGUUAAAUAGAGUAGUGAUAUGAUCAUACCUCUAUAAAGCUUUUGAUCAACAUCUUUUUCUUUUUCAUCUACAUCAUGUCUGGUGGAUGGACUCAUUGGUGUGCAAAUUGAUUUCAGCUUCAGCAUAUCAAAUCUUUUGAACAUGUCUUGAAUGUAUCUUUUUUGGUUGAUGAAGAUUCUUUUUUCACUUUGUUUGAUUUAGAGGCCAAGAAAGUACUUUAACUCACCCAUCAUGCUCAUCUGAAAUUCUUCCUGCAUCUCUUUGGCAAAAUUCUUGCAUAAAGCCUCAUUAGUUACACCAAAUACAAUGUCAUCCACAUAAAUUUGAACAACAAUUAAAUCAUUUAAGUAUCUUUUCAUAAAUAAUGUUGUAUCAAUACUACCUUUAACAUAAUCUUUUUCAACCAAAAAUUUUAAAAGCCUUUCAUACCAAGCUCUAGGAGCUUGUUUCAAUCCAUACAAGGCUUUGUGAAGUUUGAAGACAUGAUUUGAUUUUUCAAAAUCCUCAAAAUCGGGGGGUUGCUCAACAUAAACUUUUUCUUGGAUGAAACCAUUUAAGAAUGCACUCUUUACAUCCAUUUGAAAUAAGUUAAAGUUCAUAAAGCAAGCAAAUGCAAGCAGUAAUCUUAUAGCUUCUAUCCUAGCAACCGGUGUAAAGGUUUCAUCAUAUCUAUUCCUUUCUCUUGGUUAUAUCCUUGGGUUACCAACCUAGCUUUAUUUCUAACUACAUUCCUUUGUUCAUCUACCUUAUUUCUAAACACCCAUUUUGUUCCAAUAAUAGGGUUGUCACGACCCAAAUUUCGGGCCAUGACCGGUGCAUGGGCCCAAUGGACAUAGUCCACUAAGCCCAAGCAAGCCUAUCGAAUUAUUUUACUCCUCAUUCCAUCAAAUAUUGCUAAGUCACGAAUUAUAACUUUAAAUCAAAAUAGUAAUAGACAUUUUCAACUCGUAUUGGCAUUACUCAUUUAAAAUAUACAUACAUCGUCUUCAGCAUGUGUCUUAAUAAUUUACAUCAAGUUUGUUUAUAGAUCUCAAAAAGAAGACUCGAUUUUCAACGAAGAGACUCGGACGAAUGUACAGCUACUGAAUGUCGAGACACCUACCAAAAGAUGUGUACAAGUCUAUAAGGACACCUCAUCCUAGUUACCGGCUGCCUCGUGAUCUGAAAACAUGAAGUUGAAAAUGGUGAGUAUAAACCCAAUGAGUGAACAAGAAAGGGAAUAAACAUACCGUAAGAAAUCUUUAAUGAAAUCAUGAUGCAUUCUUUUUCAAAACAAUGCAAUUUGUUUUUAUUCUUACUAAAAACCCCUCAUUAAGCCCUUAAUUGAUUGAUCAUUUGAAAAUCAUGAAUCCAUACACAACGAACCAUUUGAAGAAUGAAAGCUUCAAUGAUAUGUAAGCAAGUCAAAUAUGACAACGAAUCUUCGCUGCAGCGAGAAUGAGUUUUCGUUGCAGCGACGUUGGGAUUAAGUUAUUAGCUGAACGAGGGUUUCUCAACUGGUAGAGGAUUUCUCACUAAACCUCUUCCCUUUAAACUUAACUCAUUUAAUCCUUAAUGUAGGAAGUCUAUGCUCUGAUAUGGUAGUAAAGAAGUGAAAGAUAGGGCAACAAUUGGACAAGAUAGGAGACCAAAACAGAAGGUUUUUCGCUGCAACGAAAUUAUAACCCAAAAAUAGAAGGUUUCUCACUGCAACGAAAUUCUUUCUCGCUGCAGCGAAAUUCAGCUGAUGAAGCAGAGAGUUUUUCACUAUAGCGAGAUUCCUUUUUCAUUGUAGCGAGAGGCUACGGUGACUAUCUCGCUACAGCGAAAUACAUUCUCGUUGCAACGAGAACCAGUUCUGGUGAAGGUUCUCAAACUUGAGAGUUUCUCGCUGCAGCGAGAAUGAAUUUCGCUGCAGUGAAAACAGAGCAACAAGAGAAAAGUUUCCCAUCACCCAACAAAAAGGCCAUCUUGCUAAACCAACAAAAUCAACAUACAACACAUGAAAAUUCCCAAAGUGCAACGUAUCAAAUUUCUCAUAUAUGUCAAUCAUAUAUCACAUUCAUAAGUUUUCAUUUCAUAAGUCUAGAUAUGCAUACUUACAUAGAUAAACAUCAACAUCAUCAUAAACACACCCGGCUCAUGUACAUCCCCACACAUCGUGCACAUAGCCGGCACCAUCGUGUGCAUCCCCCCNNNNNNNNNNNNNNNNNNNNNNNNNNNNNNNNNNNNNNNNNNNNNNNNNNNNNNNNNNNNNNNNNNNNNNNNNNNNNNNNNNNNNNNNNNNNNNNNNNNNNNNNNNNNNNNNNNNNNNNNNNNNNNNNNNNNNNNNNNNNNNNNNNNNNNNNNNNNNNNNNNNNNNNNNNNNNNNNNNNNNNNNNNNNNNNNNNNNNNNNNNNNNNNNNNNNNNNNNNNNNNNNNNNNNNNNNNNNNNNNNNNNNNNNNNNNNNNNNNNNNNNNNNNNNNNNNNNNNNNNNNNNNNNNNNNNNNNNNNNNNNNNNNNNNNNNNNNNNNNNNNNNNNNNNNNNNNNNNNNNNNNNNNNNNNNNNNNNNNNNNNNNNNNNNNNNNNNNNNNNNNNNNNNNNNNNNNNNNNNNNNNNNNNNNNNNNNNNNNNNNNNNNNNNNNNNNNNNNNNNNNNNNNNNNNNNNNNNNNNNNNNNNNNNNNNNNNNNNNNNNNNNNNNNNNNNNNNNNNNNNNNNNNNNNNNNNNNNNNNNNNNNNNNNNNNNNNNNNNNNNNNNNNNNNNNNNNNNNNNNNNNNNNNNNNNNNNNNNNNNNNNNNNNNNNNNNNNNNNNNNNNNNNNNNNNNNNNNNNNNNNNNNNNNNNNNNNNNNNNNNNNNNNNNNNNNNNNNNNNNNNNNNNNNNNNNNNNNNNNNNNNNNNNNNNNNNNNNNNNNNNNNNNNNNNNNNNNNNNNNNNNNNNNNNNNNNNNNNNNNNNNNNNNNNNNNNNNNNNNNNNNNNNNNNNNNNNNNNNNNNNNNNNNNNNNNNNNNNNNNNNNNNNNNNNNNNNNNNNNNNNNNNNNNNNNNNNNNNNNNNNNNNNNNNNNNNNNNNNNNNNNNNNNNNNNNNNNNNNNNNNNNNNNNNNNNNNNNNNNNNNNNNNNNNNNNNNNNNNNNNNNNNNNNNNNNNNNNNNNNNNNNNNNNNNNNNNNNNNNNNNNNNNNNNNNNNNNNNNNNNNNNNNNNNNNNNNNNNNNNNNNNNNNNNNNNNNNNNNNNNNNNNNNNNNNNNNNNNNNNNNNNNNNNNNNNNNNNNNNNNNNNNNNNNNNNNNNNNNNNNNNNNNNNNNNNNNNNNNNNNNNNNNNNNNNNNNNNNNNNNNNNNNNNNNNNNNNNNNNNNNNNNNNNNNNNNNNNNNNNNNNNNNNNNNNNNNNNNNNNNNNNNNNNNNNNNNNNNNNNNNNNNNNNNNNNNNNNNNNNNNNNNNNNNNNNNNNNNNNNNNNNNNNNNNNNNNNNNNNNNNNNNNNNNNNNNNNNNNNNNNNNNNNNNNNNNNNNNNNNNNNNNNNNNNNNNNNNNNNNNNNNNNNNNNNNNNNNUUUCCUCUUUUUCUGCUUCUUCAAAUGUUUUAGGCUCAAUUUGAGACAUGAAAGCUGAAAACUCACAAGUCUCUCUUGUUGCUUUCCUAGUUUUAACACCUUGUGAAAUAUCACCUAUGAUUAGUUCUUGUGGGUGGUCGUUUGCAUAUCUCCAACUCCUUGGAUGGUCAUUAUGCUAAUUUUCAGUUUUUUGCAGGGUUUUCAUGGGUGGAGGUUCUGUUUCUCUUCCUAGGGAAUUUUCUUCACUGUUUUUUUUAUCAUCUAAGCUCAUUUCUUCCAUUUGUUUUUCAAGAUCAUCCGUAUCAAGUUCAUCAUCAGAAAUUUCCUUUUGCAAUGUAUUGGAUUCAUCAAAAACUACAUGGAUGGAUUUUUCAGCUGUUAAAGAUUUUUUAUUGAAGACUCUAUAAGGUUUUGAGUUUAAUGCAUGGCUAAUAUCCAGCUUUCCUCUUUUUCUGCUUCUUCAAAUGUUUUAGGCUCAAUUUGAGACAUGAAAGCUGAAAACUCACAAGUCUCUCUUGUUGCUUUCCUAGUUUUAACACCUUGUGAAAUAUCACCUAUGAUUAGUUUUUGUGGGUGGUCGUUUGCAUAUCUCCAACUCCUUGGAUGGUCAUUAUGCUAAUUUUCAGUUCUUUGCAGGGUUUCCAUGGGUGGAGGUUUUGUUUCUCUUCUUAGGGAAUUUUCUUCACUGUUUUUCUUAUCAUCUAAACUCAUUUCUUACAUUUGUUUUUCAAGAUCAUCCGUAUCAUGUUCAUCAUCAGAAUUUCCUUUUGCAAGGUAUUGGAUUCAUUAAAAACUACAUAGAUGGAUUCUUCAGCUGUUAAAGAUUUUUUGUUGAAGACUCUAUAGGCUUUUGAGUUUAGUGCAUAUCCUAAAAAUAUAGCUUCAUCACUCUUUGCAUCAAACUUUCCUAAAGGUUGUUUACCCUUAUUCAAUACAAAUCACUUACAGCUAAAGCUCCUAAGGUGAGAGAUAUUUGGUUUUCUACCUUGGCAUAGCUCAUAUGGGGUCUUUGAUAUCAUAGCUCUUAUAGACACUCUAUUAAGAAUAUAAGUUGUUGUGUUAACAGCUUUUGCCCAAAAGUACUUAGGCAAAUUGUUCUCACAUAGUAUAGUUCGAGCCAUUUCUUUCAAUUGUCGAUUUUUUUCUCUCUACAACUCCAUUUUGUUAGGGUGUUCUAGGUGUAGAAAAAUUAUGAUCCAACCCCUUUUCAUUACAAAAAUUCUCAAAUUUAUGUCCUUCAAACUCACCUCCAUGAUCACUCCUAAUACGAACUAUAGCUAGUCCUUUUUCAUUAUCAACCUUCCUACAAUGACUUAUGAAUGCUGGUAGAGCAUCAUUUUUAUGAGCAAGGAAAUAUACCCAAGUGUACCUAGAGUAGUCAUCAACUAUUACAAAGCCAUAAGAUUUUCCUCCUAAACUAGUUGUACUUAUUGGACCAAAUAGAUCAAUGUGCAUCAAUUCAAGAGGUCUAGAUGUGGAGACAACUUUCUUAGUCUUAAAGGAUGUUCUAACUUGUUUUCCUAGUUAGCAAGCAUCACAUAUCUUUUCAUUGUCAAACUUAAGAUCCGACAGUCCAACAACUAAAUUUUUUCUAAUCAACUUUGACAUGGUAUGUAUGCUCACAUGUCCUAAUCUCCUAUGCCAUAACCAACUAUCAUUUUUAGCAUUUUUCACAAGACAUAUUUCACAAUCUAUUUCAAGAUCCUCAAGAAAUGUAACAUACAUAUUCUUUAAUCUUCUUAUAAAUGAGACUUUAUUAAUGCUUAUGUCUAUCACUUCACAUUUGGUUGAGUCAAAACAUACCUUAAAUCAUUUAUCACACAAUUGACUAAUGCUCAAUAAAAUAUGUUUCAAACCUUUAACCAAUAACACAUGACUUAUUUGAGUUUGAAAGUUCAUACCAACUGUUCCUAUGCCAUGAAUUCUACCUUUUGAAUCAUCACAAAAGGAUAUGAUACCUCCAUUUUUCUUGUCUAGCAAUGCAAAUAGCAUUUCAUUUCCUGUCAUGUGCCUUGAGCAACCACUGUCCAUAUACCAAGGUUGCUUCUUCUUGAGCUGAGCUCUUGAACAUGUAUCUUUUGAGUGCAGCUCAACCUACAAAACAAAUAUUCUUGAACAUGUAUCUUUUGAGUGUAGCUCAAAAUACAAAAUAAAUAUUCAAUUUUUCUUUAUAGGUACCCAUAUUUUGAUGGGUCUUUGAUUGUUAACAGCAACAUAGUAUCCUUUUGGAACCCAUAUUUUUCUUAUUUUUUGCACAUUUCUUUUUCUAUUGCAAUCAUAGGAGAAAUGGCCAAUUUUAUCACAAAUAUAACACCUAGAUGAUGCAUUAGCAGAAUUUUUCUUGUGGUAAGCAUUUCUUUUUGGAGUUUCAUUUUUCAUACUUUUAAGUGCAACAUUUUCUUCACUUACCUUUUGUAAAGCUUCUGUUUUUCUUUCUAAUUCCAAUUUUAAAGUUUUAAAAUCUGUUUUUGAAUGUUCCAAUUUAAUUAGCAGAAAAUUUUUAUGUUAAAAAAUAGAGUCAAAAUCAAGUUUAAUCUUUUCCAAAUCUAAUUCUAGAGAUGCAGAUUUUUCUUUAAAGUCUUGUAUUUCAAAACAAGUUUCUCAAAUUCAUCAUAUAAACAUUCAUAUUCUUCCUGAAGUUCAUCAACAGAAAUAUUGUAAGGGGAUGAGGAUACCUCAGAUUCAUCAUCCUGUGCCAUUAAACACAGGUUUGCUCUUUCUUCAGUUUUUUCUUCCUCAACUUCAGAAUUUCAAGUAUCACUGUCUGACCAAGUAGCUGCCACCAUUGCCUUCUUUGAAUUCUUGUUUCUCAUUGGAGUUUGUUCUUUCAGCAAAGGGCAUUCGAACUUGAAACGUCUAGGCUUCUUACAUUCGAAGCAUGUAAGCUCUUCUUUUUUGUUGGAGUCAUUUUUGUUUCUAGUUCUCCAUGAAGAACCUUGGUCUUUUGUAAACCUUUUUCUAGCUAGUCUCCAGUUUCUUUUGCCCAUCAAUUUUCUGAAUCUCCUAGCAACCAGUGCUAGUUCAUCAUCAUCAUCACAGGAUAGCUCGUCUAGUUCUUCUUCAAGAAUGCUGGCUUUGAGAGCGAUGCUUUUCUUCUAUUCUUUAGCUUCCCUUCUAUCUUCUUCUUCUUCUUCCUUGAGUUCUAGCUCAUGAGUAAAGAGAGAAUCACAAAUUUCAUCCAAAGUUAUAACAUUUAAGUCUUUGGCUUAUCGAAUGGUUGUCACCUUAGGCUUCUAAUUUUUGAGUAGGCUUCUAAGAAGUUUUUUAACAAUUUCAUGCUCUGGGAUUGGUUUGCCUGACUGACUAAGUUUAUUUGUGAUGUUCGUAAAUUUAUCUAAUGUGCUGGUGAUAUCUUCACCAGGCUUCAUCUUAAACAUUUCAUAUUUGUGAGUCAAGAGGGCUAUCUUGGAUUCCUUGACUUGAGAAGUCCCUUCAUGAAUAAUUCUAAGUUUAUCCCAUAUUUGUUUUGCUGUGGUACAGCUUGAUACUUUAUUGAAUUCGGUGAAAAUUAGAGCACAAUGCAAUGUAUUGAUUGCUUUAAAAUUGGUUUGAACCUUUUUGGUUUCAAUCUCGGUCCAUUCAGACUUUGGCUUAGAGAUCAUCUCAUUGGUCACCACAUUUAAAGUUGAGGGAAUGAAUGGUCCAUCAGUUAUGACAUCUCACAUCUCAUAAUCAAUUACUUUAAUAUAUAUUGACAUCCUAGUACUCCAAUAAGGAUAGUUAAAGCCAUCAAAUAGAGGUGGUCUAUUUGUUGAUUGUCCCUCAGUAACUACUGAUUUUUGUAGAGCCCUUUGGAUCUUCCCAAGGGUAUUAGACCUUAAUAACAGGGGUUAGGCUUUGAUACCACUUGUUGGUCCCAAGUAAAUGUGCUAGAGUGGGGUGAAUAGCACUUUUUGGCUUUUGGCAAUAUGAGGAAUUAAUUUGAAAUGCAAUGAAAAUAAAAACAGAGUAGACAAUGCGCAAGAAUUUAGAGUGGUUCGGUCCAAGACCUACAUCCACUACCUUGAUUAUUCAACCAAGGAUUUUCCAAACUAAUCCACUAUGAACGGUGAAAUUCACAAGCUUUCACCAAGUUUUUACAAUGACUUUUACCAGUCUUAGCCAAAACCUUUCACAAUAGUUUUACCGAGAUCAACUAAAACCCAACACCUAAUUUUUCAAGGCUAAGUUAGAACCUAUACCCAAUCAAGCAAGCCUAGCUUGAAUCAAUCUCUUAGAGUGACUUGUUCACUUUAAGAAUACAAAGAGAGAAGUGAUGAGAGUGUACCUAUGAUCACAAGGUUGAUCUAAGUGGUACAAAGUGAAGUGUAUAUCACAAUUACAAAGAUAGGAGUUGAGCGCAGUAAAUGAGCAGAGAGUAUUUGCAGGUUUUUCAACUCUUUUGUGUUCUUAAAAGCCUUCAUUACAUUUCUAGCUGUUAGAACCCUUUUUUAUACUUGAAAAAUUAGCUCUGAAGUGUGUUAAACAGUUUCUGACUGUUGGAAACAGUUUUGUUGUAGUUCUGGCCGUUAAUCUGUCUUCUAUUGCACAAUUCAAAUUUUCUGGCAGAAUUCCCUUAGUCGACUAAGUUGUCUCUGUUUUCUGUUUCCAGUUUCUGGCAGUAAGCACUUAGUCGACUAGCUUAUUUCUUGGUUGACUAAGUUGGUUCUGUCUUGAAGUCCAAAUUUCUGGCAGUAGCUUCUUAGUGGACUAACUUAUUAUUUGGUCGACUAAGUCUUUUCUAUCUCUUAAUACUCUUCAGCCCCCCAACUUCUGGUUUAAAUCUUAGUUGACUAACUCUUCAUUAAUUGACUAAUGGGCUUCUGUCUUGUUGAUCAAUUAUGACUUCCUUAUUCUUAUGCUCUUUGAUAUGUGCAUUUGAAUGAUUGAUUAAUUGUUUGCAUACAAUUUUUGUCUUGCACACUCAAGUAGAAAUAUUAGACACAAAUGAAUGAGAAUGUUUUAUUAUCAUCAAAAACUAAUAGAGCCAACAUAUAUGACUUGUCAAAACCAUCUAAAGGCCCUUCUAACGGCUUGAAACGUAAAGAGAAAAAAUCUUAAGCUAAAAAUCAGUAACAAUAAAUUGGUUGUACAAAUUUACUGUUUGCACAUGAUAGUCACGUGCUCUUUAUUUGGCCUAUACAAUGUGCAUAUCAUGUUUCUUUUCUUCAACUAAGGCCUGCAUGUAUGACUUCAAUAAACCUUCAUUCUAUUUGUAAUUCACAGCUUCUUCAUCAUCAACACUCCCCUUUAAGAUGUAUGUGAAAUGUUGUGAAUAGACAUCUUACUGAGUAAAUGAUGGAAUUGUCCCAAUUGUAAUGCUUUUGUAAAUAAGUUAGCAAUUUGUGAAUCAGUAUAUAAUAUGCAAAGGUUCGAUUAUACCUUCUAGUACCUUAUCUCGAAUAAAUUGACAAUCAAUUUCUAUGUGUUUUGUCUACUCAUGAAACAUGGGAUUCUUGCAAAUACGAAGGGCAGAUUGGUUGUCACAAUAUAACUUUACUACAACUUUAUGUUCAAAACCAAAAUCUUUUAGUAAUGACUUUAACCACACAAUUUCACAACAAGUGGAUGCGAUCGAUUUGUACUCAGUUUCUAUUGAACUAUGUGCCAUUACAAAUUGCUUUUUAGAUUUCCAACUGACUAAAGAAUUUCUAAUAAAAAUAUUGAAACCUGUGAUAGAUUUCGUUGUGUUAGGACACCCCCCAAUCACAAUCUACAUAGGUUGUGAUCUCCAUUUUUGAAUAAGCUUUCAUGAAAAGUCCUUGUCUAGGUGCAAAUUUUAAAUACUUCAAUACUUUGUAUGCUGCCAUUAAGUAUUCAUGCCCUGGUUCGUCUAUAAAUUGGGAUAAAACUUGAACACUAUAUGAGAUAUCAUGUCUAGUAAAAGUCACAUAAAACAACUUACCAAUGAGUUGUUUUUAAGCUGUGGGAUCUGCUAAUUGUUCUUCAUCUAUGGCCUUAGACAGCUUGUGAUUAUAGUAAAUAGGAGUUGACAUUAGUUUUGUGCCUAGCAAGCCAUGCUCUUCUAAGAGAUCUAGUGUGUAUUACCUUUGACAAACCGGUAUUCCUUAAGUUGAUCUUGAAACUUCAAGUCCUAGGAAGUUUUUCAAUUUCCUAUGUCUAACUAGAAUUGUGCAUUUAAGUAACUUUUGACUUCGUUUACAACUCCCAUGGAUGAGCUGCCAAUAAGAAUAUCAUCGACAUACACCAAAAUUGCAACAUAAUCAUUAUUCUUGGUCAUGGUAAACAAUGAGUAAUUAGACUUUGAUUGGCAAAAUCCAUAUUUGAAUUAAGGAAACAAUGAGUUUAGAGUUCCAUUGCCAGGAAGCUUGCUUAAGCCCAUAUAAAAACUUGUAUAGCGUGCAUACCAUUUUUCAAUUAGGUGGGCACUCCCCCUUAAACACAUAACCUUAAGGAAGCUCCAUGUAUACUGUUUCUUCCAAAUCUCCAUUCAAGAAUGCAUUGUUGAUAUCAAGUUAUGACAAGAACCAAUUAUGAGCUACUGCAAGUGCCUAGAAAACUCUAAUAGUGGUUUGCUUAGCCUCUGAAUUGAAGGUUUCUUGGUAGUCAAAACCUUCUCUUUGAUUGUACCCUUUAGCAACCAAUCGAGCCUUGUACUUCUCCACUGUGCCAUUUGAGUUCAAUUUCACUUUGUAGACCUAAUUUGCAGCCUAUAACAUGUGAAUCAUGAGGUAAAGGGAACUACACUCCAUGUACCAUUAUCUUCCAAAGCUUUCAAUUCAAAUUCCAUUGUUGUCCUUCAUUGAGAAUUUUUGACAGCUUAGAGGCAAUAUUGAGGUUCAAGCAUAUGUGAUAGAGAGGCAGUAUAAAUCCCAUAUGCAAGUGACAGUUUAGUGUUUGAUAGCAUAGUUAUCAUUAUCGUACGAUACGCGAUAUGUAUCGUACAAUAAGAUACAAUACGAUACUAAUAGAAAACAAUACGUUUCUAUAGUUAUAUCGCAUUUGAUCAAGUAUCAAAAGUGUAUCAUACAAUACACAAUACGUAUCUUACAAUACUAGGGCGUAUCAUACAGUAGAGUUGAUAUACUUUUUAUAAGCUUAAUUCUAAUUAAUUAUUAAAUAUUUUAUUUUUUAUUAUUUUUUUGAAUUGAAACAUGAAAAAUUAUAUUUUAUGAGUUUCAAUCUUUAGAUUUUAAACAAAAAAACUCAAAAAAAUUGAAUUCCUUUUUAAUUUCAACAUGAUAAAUGUUUUUUAAUUUUAAUUAAUAAAUUGAUAUGAAAAAUUAUAUAUUUUAUUUAAAAAUCUAUAUUAUUAAGGAAUAUGUUGAGAGUUUAAAUUAAAAAAUAAUAAUCUUUCAAUUUAAACCUUAUAAUCUUCAAUUUUGUUAAAAAUAUAAUAUUUUUUAAUUUUUUCUUUAUUUUACAUGUAUAAAUUAAUUUUAAAAUUUUUUACAGUAUCUUACAAUACAAUACGAUACUCUAUACUAAAAAGUAAGAUUUCGAUACAUAAUACAUAUAUCAAUUUAACAACUAUGUCUGAUCGGUAUUUGGUAAUUGAAUAUACUAUGACAUUGUUAGAUUAAGGAUCAAGGUUAUGUUGCAAGGCUUUCAAAUAUCUAGGCAAAUGUCUAGCUCUAGUACUUUUCUUAGGUACUGAAUAAUCAACAAGGGAUAUGUCUUCCUAAGUUUGAGGUGAAACAGAAUCAUCAAGCAAAGAAUUUUCUUGGUGUAAAAUUAGAGAAUUAAGAUUAGUUUCAAGGAUAAGAACUGAACUAGGUGAAAUUGUUGACUUAAGAGAGUUUGUUUGUAAUAUUGAAUUCUGGCUAGAAGGGAAAUUGUUAAGGAAAGUAUAAAAAAUAUGAAGAUUUGACUCAUGUAGACUAGAUGUUUGUGAAAAGUCAAAUGGUGGUGCAAAUGCAGUACUAGUGUACAAUAGAAAUGAACUUUCAUGAAAAACCACAUUCCUUGAAAUAAGGACCUUAUGUGCAUCAACAUCAUACACUUUGUAACCUUUAACACUAGCUAGAUAACCAAGGAAGACACACUUGGAUGCUCUUUUAUCAAAUUUCUUCCUAUUAUGUGUCACGAUAGAUGUGAAGCAAAGACAUCCAAAUACUCUAAGGUGAUUGUAAGAAGGUGGUUUCUUAAAUAACAUUUCAUAUGGAGAUACAUUUCUAAGGACAGAUAGAGGAAUCCUAUUUAUUAUAUGGGCAGCAGUAAGAAUGGCAUCCCUUAAAAAUUUAAUUUGGCAUAUAGGACUGAAAGAGCAAGGAUCUUGCAACCAUCAAUCAUGUUUGGUGUUUCCUUUCAACAACAACAUUUGGCUAUGGUGUUUCUGCACAGGACAAUUGAUGCACAAUACCCUUAGAUGCAUAAACUUUAGUUAAGUUGAAUUCCAAACCAUUAUAUGAUCUUACUUGUUUGAUGGAAACAUUAAAUUGAUUUUGAAUCAAGUUAUAAAAAGAAGGGACUAAUGACAAUACAUAUGAUUUUGCUUUCAUUAUAAAUAUCCGUGUGAACUUGCAAAUUAUCAAUUAUUGUAAGGAAAUAAUGAUUACCUCUUAAUUUAGCAAUAGUAUAAGGUCCCCAAUUAUCAACAUGAAGUAACUCAAAAGCAAAUGUAAUGCUUUGAACAUGCUUAGAAAAAGAUAAUCUUUUCUAUUUUGCUAUAGGAAAACUUCACAUGGCAAUUCACAGUUAUUAGAAAUUUUUGGAAAAAGUUUGUGAAUCAUCUUUAUUUUAUCAAGGCAUAUGUCCAAGCCUAUAAUGCCAUAAGUCAAAACAUUUAGAAUCUAUUUUGCAAACAUUAACACAAACAUUUGAAGGAAAUUUGACAAUGUUCUCAAACUUAAAUUGUUUAAGAUAUUGUGCAUCAUGGUUGUUCUGCAAGAAGUAAAGUAUUAAUGUAAGCUUAGCAACUCCAAUUACAGCCUAUGUGUUGAGGUCUUGAAUGACACAAUAAGUAUCAAUAAAAUAUAUGCAAUGAUUUUUGGAUUUUUUAAAUUGAUUUACUGACAAAAGAUUGAAUCUGAAAGUAGGAAUGCAUAAGACAUUGUAUAAUAUCAAGAUUGGACUUAACUUGACUAUACCUAUAUGUGAAACAACUGCCCUGGCAUUGUUUGGUAAGUGAACAAAUAGAUUAUUUACUGGUUGGUAGGAAAUAAAUUUGUUAAGACUACAAGCUAUGUGAUCUAAUGCACUAGUGUCCAUAAUCCAAGAACUAUGUUUAAUCAGGAAAUUAUUAAAAUUCAAUGAGCUAUUUGAAUGAGAACUAUGUUUAACCAAUAAUGGCAAAAAAUAAUACCUACCAAAGCUGAGUUUACGAAGGAAGACCUAGUUUGUUGAGUGUUUUUGGAAAUGAUAACCUUACUUAUUGAUUCAUUUCUUUGAUGAGAGCAAGUAGUUUUUGAAACUGAGUCCUUGUAAAAGAUAUCUAAGACAUGGAGUUAGUGCCUAAAUCCUCAUCUUGAUCAUAUGGGAAUCAUUAGUAGUCAUGAUACUAUUCAUUGAUUUGCGACCAAAGUGAUUAGGAUUCCUUUUUUUAAGACUAUUCUUGCUUUUGUUGAAUUUAAAAUCUUCUAGAAAGCCUAUCAAUUUGUAGCAUUUCCUUUUAGAGUGUCCUUUCUUCCCAUAAUAAGCACAGAUGACGUCUGGUCUCCUUUUUCUUUUCCCAUCAGUGAUUACCAACAUAGUAAUAGAUUCUAAUAAAGGUUGUGAUUGUAUCAAUAGCUUCCUUUGCGAUUCUUCUCGUAGCACCAGAUUGUAGGCCUUGUUCAGAUUAUGAAAAGGUUCUAUUAAAAUUAUUUGGGACCUUAAAGUAAAAUAGGACUCAUUGAGUCCAUUAAGGAACAUGAACACUAUGUCUUUUUGGUAUUGAUCAGAAAACCUUAUGAAGCAUCUUUGAUUGCAAGUUCUUCCCAAAUGCAAUUCAGCUUAGUGAAGUAGGUAUCCAUUGUUCUAGUGCCUUGAGUAAUGUCGCCUAAGGAGUACUAUAGCUUACAAAUUAUUGUGUCAUCAGGCUAUCCAAAUCUCUGCUGUAAUGUGUUUCGAAUUUCCAAGGCUGAAUCCAUAUAAAAAACUAUUGAAGAAAUAUAGGGUGUUAGCUUUAUUCGCUUUAAAAUGACUAUAGUUUUGAAAUGACAAAAAUGAUAAAAAAUUACUUGAAUGAUCUCUGAACUUGUUUGAAAGAUUUUUUAAGUUGUUUGAAUAUGUUUUUGAACUUAAUUUAUUAAUGUUAAAAAUUUCCAAGCAUUCAUUUUUGAAGUGCCUAAGUGUUUCCAUGAAAAAAAUGAUCAAGAUUACUUGAAUGAUCGUUAAACUUUGUUUGAAUUAUUUUUGAAGUUGUUUGAAUGAGUUUUUGACGUUGUUUGAAUGAGUUUUUGAAGUUGUUUGAAUGAGUUUUUGAAGUUGUUUGAAUAAGUUUUGAAGAUCCCAAGUGAAAAUGUUUCAAAAUUCCUUGAACAUUAUUUGAGUUAUCCUUGAAAGUUUACAAGCUUGAUUUAGAUGUAUGAGUGUUAAAUUUGUUUAAAUGAGCUUUAGAAUCUCUCUAAAACUUAUUCUUGAAAUGUUAAAGUGUUUGAUUUCCAAGAUAGCUUCAUCAAGUAAAGAGGCUAAGGUGUGUAAAGCAAAAACCAAAUCAAAAGAACCUUUAAAGAGCUUUUUGUCUCCUAUCUAUCGAUAGAUGUGGUUCUACCUGGUAUCUAUCAAUAGAUACACACGAACUAUCAAUAAAUAGUGACUAUUGAACACAAAAUUCAAAAGGAAAACAAUUAGUUUCUUUACCAAACUUUCUCCAAAGGCUUUAAAGGCUCUCCAACUAUAAAAAAGACUUCUUCAACACAUUUAGAAUGUUAGAAGAGUGGAGAAAAACAUCAUUUGAUCAAGAAUCAAAUCACAUGAAGAAAAAGAAGAAAAAGAGAGAGAAACCAAGCUAAAGUAAGAAAGUUCAAUUCUUGCACUAAGCUUUUAAGAUUUCUUGUGCUAUAAUUUCCUUGUACCUUCAUUCCUAUCUUUUGUAAUCAUCUUUAUCACCAUCAUACUCUUCCAACUUUGCACUUACUUAGCAAAAUUCACCUUUUAGAUGUAUCCUUGUUACUCAAAAUUGUAAGAGAGAAAAGGUUGUACUUUAGCCUUAAAAGGCAUUGUAGAAAGGUUAUGCUUGAUCUAUAAAAGGCAUUGCAUUAUGACGGUUGUGCUUGAUCCUUUAAAAAGGCAUUGUAAAAGUUAUGCUUGAGCCUUGAAAAAGUAUUUUUCAUAGUAGAUUUAAACUCCUUAGCUUGCUGAGGGAGAAGACGUAAGCAAGGAGGCCUAACCUCUAUAAAAAUAUUUUUUUUUUAUUUUUCAGUCCUUGAAUUUAUGCAUUGACUUAAAUCAUUUAUCAAAUUUGUUCUUAACUUGUUUAUUCUUAAUUUACUCUUCAAAUUAUUAUUGACACACUUUGAUAGAAAAACAAAUUUGUGAAAAUAAUUUUUAGCUUGACAUGAUUGGAAGAUUGUGAAAUUUUACACUAGUUCAUUUUGGCUUAAAAAGUUUGAAAAUUUAUUUUCAACUUGUUUGUUCAUUACUUUGCUUAUUACUUUUGGCAUGUUUUAAAGUGAACAAAUUUGAGAAACUUUUCUUCAAACUUGGUUUCAUUAAAAGUUUAAAUUUGUUGAAAAGAAAUUACAAAAAAAAACCAAUUAAGCCCCCUUUAGAUAUUUAUCUCAUUAUUAUAGAGCUAACACUUUUAAUAGAGGAGGUAAUGGAUUCUAACAACCAAGUUCACUACUAGAAAUACUGGUUUCUGUGAUAGAAAAAACCAUCACAAACAAAAAUUAGUGACAAAAAUUAUGACAGAUAUUUAUCCACACUAUACAUCACCCUACUAAUACUUCUGUCACAAAUUAGUGAAAUUUCUGUCACAAUUUUUUGUUAAUCUAAGCAGUUACCCAUCCGUCAUUCUAUCACAGAUUUAAGAAAAUGAUCACUAAAUUCAUUACAAUAUUUUGUCACAGUUGUAAAAUAUUGUAACUGAUUUUGUCACAAAAUUAUGUUAUGAAAUCUAUUUUGUCACUAAUUCCAUCACUAGUACUUGUCACAAUGUGAUAAUAUUGUCAUUUAUUCUGUCACUAGUAUUUUUCAUAAUGUAAGAAUAUUAUCAUUGUUUUCUAUCACAGAAGACAAUUGUCACUGAUUCUAUCACAAAUUUUUGCCACUAUUUAGACACUAUUGUCAUUAAAUCUGUUACAACUUAUGUUUGUGAAUUACUUGAUUCCAUCACUAAUAAAAGAAUUUGUUACUGAUUUUUAAAUAUUUUUGUCACUAAUUAAAAAUCUAUCGCUAAUUUAAUAUAUUCUGUCAUUAAUAGAAUAAUCUGUCACAAUAAAUUAUAUUUGUCACAAAUAAUUACAUCCAUCAUAGUAAACAAUAUACAAUACCUAAAUCCGUACUUGUUACAAUUCAAUAAUCAAUUUUGGUGACAAUGGAACUACCACAACAUCAUAAUGUCACCAUCACAUAACAUGAUAGCAUUAAGAAUAAUAAAUCCAUCACCAUAGAUAAUUUUGAUGAAACCAAUCAUAAUAUAUUCAACAAUAUAAUACCACAAGUGUAGUUGAGUUCAACUAGAUGAACAAAAUAUAUAGAACCUAUACUCGCAUUACAACAUUACAAACUAAAAUACUUGAAGCAGGUCACCAUUCAUUAAUAACCACAAUGGUUCUACUAGUAUGUAUGAUUGUAUGUCAUAUAUCUUAUAGCAAAUACCUCUUAACCUUUAAAAAUAUGGAGAAUGUUUCCCUCCAAUUACUCAUCUACUAUCCAAAGAGCAGUCUUCGUGAACUUACAAACUCAUAUACGUCAUUUCCAGCUCUAAAGGCAUCGGCAUAGCCACAAAAGGUUUAUGGCAAAGUAUAAAGAUUAAAUGAACAGUUGAAUGCUAGAUAUUUAUACAUUCAUUAGGAAGUAUACGUUUUCAAGGAGUAAGAAGUAGAAAGAAAUAGGAGAAGAAAAACAGUAUAUGGUACUAGUAUUCUAUUUAUUUAUUUAUCUUCUCAACAAUGUAGCUUUCACCAUGAAUAAAUAAGUCUUAAAGCAAGAAGUGUCUAUCCUUACGGAAGUGAAUCAUGAGCCACAUAGUCAAUUUUGUGUUUAUCAAAAAAUUCUUAAUUGAUCACCCACGGUGCAUCAAGAAUGACUUCAUCAGCCCACUUGUAAGAAAUUAUCGACAGAGAACUUGAAUGAAGCUCUUCAAAUAUAUUUAAUUCACUAAAAUUAUAAAUUAAAAAUGAAAGAUCUCAUAUAAAGAUGUGACAACCACUUUCUUCCAAAGAAAAAAAUUCAAGUGAAUUUGUAAUUAAGGCUCCACUGGUUGAGGGUUUUGUUACUUGCUUUUUGCUAUAUAUUUUGCUACCUAAAAAGUAGCUAAAAAGCAAAAAUCAUAAUUUAUUUAAAAUGAACAAAUUGUAUAACAUCAAUUCUAACAUAAUUAUUCUGGAAAAAAACACAUUUACGAUUUUAAUUCUUAAAUCCUCAAAUUCACUAUUUUCUUUUGCAUCCAAACACAUAUUUUCGCCUUUCACUUUCAAAAAGCAAAAGCAACAACCAAACUGUACCUCAAAUGAGCAUCCUGAGUAAAUUUCUUUCAAGUGUUAUUCAUAACAAUUUUGCCCUUAAGUUUGUGAGUGAUUUCAUCAUUGCAACAUCCAACUACUACAUACGUAUAAGGAAACCUAAAAUUUCCAAAAAUUCAAUCAUAUACAUAAUCAACAAAAAGUUCAAAAAAAAAACAAACCCAAGCCGGCAACUGCACGUAAGUAAUAGCAUUAAGACUUCUUUCUAAUACAAAUAAACAUACAUGAAAUCAAAUUCACAUUAAAAAAAAUUAAAUAGAUAAAAAAAUAAGCCACACACUAGAAGUUAGAAAGAAACCCAUUAAUCACCACGAAUUUCCACAAAUACCUAGGAAAGUAUGUACAUCAAAACAAAGAUAAAAACAGAGAGAGAAAGAGAGGAGCGGAAAAAUAGACGAUUUGUUGGCUUGUUCGAGGGAGUGAGCGUGGCCAAAGUGGUUGGGAAUUUUAGCUUCUAAGUUCUUUGUUUUUUAUCUUUGACAGUUACAUUUUCGAGUGAGUGUUGCCUUUACGUUCGGUUUUUGGUGUUCUUUAUAUUUAACAACGAACCUCACCAGGUACGGACACAUUCAACCGUUGAAAUUGCAAGGUUCAGAUAUUAAAAAAAUCAAUUUUGGUUUAGUUUUCCUCCAUAUUUCUUGGUAACCAAAGAGGAAAAAACAUAAAGAGAGAAAGAAAAAAGAAGAAGAAAAAGACCGUAAGCUCCAAAUCUGUAACAUUGGAACCGCAAAGAAAGUGAAGAGUUUGGAGAGAAGCUUCAGUUGGCAUAGCAUGACAAAGGAUGCUUUAGACGAUGAAGGAAGCUUCAACCAUCAUUCAACACGAAAAGAGGCAGUCAAGGGCGAGGGCCAAGGGGCUUCCUAUAGGUUUUUGAAAUGAAAGGUGACUGGCUGAAAGUUUGGUAAAGUGCGCCAUGGGUUAGGGAUUUAGGGAUUAGUUUGGCAAAGGCUUAGUUAAUUUUGUAAAGUGAGCCGCGAGUUAAGGAUUUUAGACUAAGUUCAAGUCCUUAUAUCAACAAACUUGAAUAUUUUAUAUUUUAUUAUUAAUAAUAAAAUUUUAAUAUGUUCAUAUUAAACUUGACUAUAUAGACUAUAAACAUUAUAAAAAUAAUAUAUUUAGAUAAUCAUAAUAUAUUAGACAUUAAUGCAUAAUAUAAUAUAUCUGAUAUUAUUAAAUUGUAAACAAAUCCAAUAUUCCUUUAUUAUAUAUAUAUGAAAUAAUGCAAAUUAUAUGUUAUAUAAAUGUUAUAUACUACAAAGUUUGUAUAAAUAGUAAUUAAUUAUAAACAAUACAUUAUAAAAACUAAAGUGAUAACUAAUAAAGUUAAUUAUUAACUAUAAUCAACUAACUUAAAGUUUAUUAUAAGUUAUAGUAAAACUUAUGUAUAAAUUAAAUAUAUGUAUAUUAUAAGUUUAUUACAAAACAUAACUAUAUAUAAGUGUAAUAAUUAUAACAUAUUAAUUUGUAGGAUAUUUACUAUCAUAUUAAUAUUAACAUAUAAGUUAUAUCAUUUAAAAUAUAUAAUCUGUAAUUUCAUAUUAAUAUAGGUUUAUAAAUAUAUAUAGUUAAUGUGAAAUUGUCAUAAUUAUAAUUUGUAUACGUAAAUAUAUACAUAUAAUAAAUUAAUUAAUAUAUUUUAAGUAUAUUAUUAAUUAAGUUUACUAUCAUUCUUCUUAAUAAUUUAUAUUAACUAAUAUAAUUAGUAUGGCAAGUAUUAUUAUUUUUGUAUAACUUAUAUAGUUAUAUAUUUAUAAAUACCCAUGGUUUGUAGUGAUAAUUACAUGUAAUUUCAUAUUAAUUAAUAUAGGUUGAUAUAUAUAUAUAUAUAUAUAUAUUACCAAUUUUAAAUACUUAUAAAAACGUAAAUAUAUACUAUUCACAAAAACUAAAAUAUAAUAUUUUUAAUUUAUCCAAGUAAAAGUAUUUAAUUUUUUGUUUAAUUAUAUAAAUAAAGUUGAAAGUAAUUUUUGUGACAGAUUUUUAGUACAGACUUGUAACAACCAAUUUUAUUUUUAAUUUAGCAAGGUGCCUUUUUUUCCCUCCAAAUUAUUUGUCACAAAUCCAUCACUAUUUUUGUCACAAAAGUAUAAUAUUAAAUUAAACUAAUCCUUAUGAUAGAUUAUUCUGUCACUAUAAUCAGUAACUAUACUUAAAUUGGUCACAUGUUAUUUACUCAGUUGCUUGAAUUAAAUUUUUAUCACAAUUUCGUCACUAAUUUUGUCACUAAGUAAGAAAUCCUAGUAUCGUAAUGGUUUCUAUCACAAGAUUUUGUCACUAAUUUUGGCUCUAAGAUAAAAAUUUUAUGCUCAAAUUAAUUGUAACGAAUUUAGUGACAGAUUUAAAAUGUCGUUACAAUUCUAUCACGAAUCCAUUACUAAAUCUGUCACAAAGUCUCAAAAACAAUUUAUCAUUAAUUUUGUUACAAAAUCGUCACAAUUCUGUCACUAUAAGUCAUUAUCUAUGACAAAAAAAAUUUCCAUCACAAUUGCCAAGAUUUAUGGUAGUGGCUACAAUUAGGUUGUUACAUCUCUUCUAAGAGACAUAUAAGUCAUCAAAAAGAUUUGGUUUAGAGAUGGAACCGUCAAGAAAUCCUGAUAUAUUCCUAACAGAUAGUGCCAACAUAAAAGAAUGGCUCCAGGUCACAAAAUUGGUUUAAGUUAGCAUAAGUGUUAUAACAACUGAGCCAUGAUGGUUAAUAUGGUGAAGGCAAUAUGGUGAGUGUAUAUCCUUGAUCUUUGAAGAGGUUGAUCUCAUAUUGGAAGCAUUAGAUGCAACUAAUGUAUUGUUUUCAUUAAAAAAACAUUGACAAAGCUUAGUUCAAACACUCAAAAACAGCUAAUGAAGCAAGCAACAAUAAAGAAAUAAUUUGAGGUACAACUAAGAAUUAGUCUCAAGUAGGGUUAAGAAGUAAUUACGUAUAAAUAACGUAUCGGAUGUUGUUUUGACAAAUCAACAAACAGUUACCAGAUCUGUGCCAACAAACUAGCACUAACAAAAAGCCAAAUGUUGAAAAUCCCUUACACCAGGAGCUCUAAUAGGGUCUGAUACCAUGACAUUUUUAGGAAAAUAGAUACUAAUUUAAUAGUGAAAUGAUUGGAAGUAUUGCUAUAUUUCUCAAAGAAUAAUCGAAUGAAUACAAAAGCUUAUUUAUAUGACUUGUCAAAACCAUCAAGAGGCCUUUGUAACAACUAGGAAUGGAAAGAGAAAAAAUACUAGGCUAAAAAUUAGUAACAAUAAAUUGGUUGUACAAAUUUACUGCUUGCACAUGAUAGUCACGUGGUCUUUAUUUGACUUGUACAAUAUGCAUAUUACAUGUCCUUUCUUCAAUUAAGGCCUGCAUGUAUGACUUUAGUAAACCUUCAUUCUAUUUGUAAUUCACAGCUUCUUCAUCAUCAAUAUGUCAUGUAGAAUUUUGCAUGAGUUUUUGCUAUAUGGCAUAUGCAUGUGCAAUACAACCUAAACUUCCUUUAGACUUGUGUGCCCUAAGCUUGGUUUCAAUUUUUGGCUAGUGGCCCUUUUGCUAUUAUCGUUUUGGCUAUUUUAGUCAUUGAACUAACACUCUGAUUUGAAAUAUAAGUCAAAUUCUGUGAAAACUAGAGUUUACACCAAACUAACAUAUAUUGGGUAUUACGCAACAUGGAAGAGAUCAUACAUAACAUUUAUGUUAUACGCAGCAAAAAAUAAAAAAAAUCUAAACAAAGUCCCAUGCUGUCACCCAUGGAAAUCUUGGUGGUUUUAAUACAACUAAAAACCAGAAUAGAGGAGUAACCAAAAAAUAAAAUUACCUUUUGCAUGUGAUGUGGCUAUCACGAUGGUACCUCUUCCUUUUUCUAACCCAUGAACACCACACAAAGAGCAAAGGACUUGAGCAACUUAAAUGCUUGACCUCUAAUAGUCACACACACGAUUGCACUUGAACCUUCACAAGGAAGGAGCUUUCUUCACUAUGCCUUUAUGCUAGUAAGGUGGACAACCACCUGUCCUCUCCACACAAGCACACUCCUCCUAACCGAAUGACAAAGUUGAAAAACUGUUUUUCCUAAAUUUCUCAAGAAAAAGUGCAGCUAGGAUUUUCUUGUUAGUUUUCUGACACUCAAAAACCUAUAUUGUGUAUUUUUCUUUUUCUUUCUUGUGAAGAGUAGUUGAAAAAUAAUAUUUAUAUCUAGGUUAUUUAACUUUUUAAUUAUAAAUAAGGCCUUAAUAUUAUAACCUUUUAUAAUAUUGGCCCAAUACUUAAUUAAACCUCUUUAAUUAAGUCAUUGUAAAUUAAAAUCAAAUUUAAUUUACUUCAUUUGUUUACAGUUAAGACUUUAAUAUUAUAACUAAUUAUACUAUUGGCCUUACACCUAAUUAAACUAUUUUAAUUAAGUUCAUAGAGGUUAAAACCUUACUGUAUGAUUGAAGUACAACUUUACUCAUUAUACUCUCAAUUUAAUUCAUACUGUAACUUAUUGUGUGUGACCUAUUAUAUUUGUAACAUAUUAACAAUGAAAUUGAAUUAUAAUCUUUAUUAAAUUAAUUAAUUCAAUUCCAUAGUCCAAGAUUGACAUCUAGCAAUGCAUCAUGACCAUCCAAUUGAUAAAAAAGUCAAAGGGUUCUUGGACAAUCUUUCAACGCACAAUCUAUUAGUGUAAUUCAUUCUUUCAUCAUAUAUCUCGAAAAUGAUAAAAGCAUGGUACAAUGUCUACUCUUAGUUAUCUCCAUAUUUGUUCUUGAAGUUAAAUCGUUAACUUUAUAGAGACUUAUGAAACACUUUUCAUAAUCUCCAAGCCACCUUGACGAAAGACUUCAACAAGUUAAUAUCAACCAAGAAUUGUUUGGAUAUGCCCUUUAAAUUACUUAGGGUGAUGAUUCCUUUUUGAUCACUCAUUUGCCUUCACAUGCUUCAUACUACAACCAACCAUGUCACGACCCGGUACUCCCCUUGAGCCCGUGACAACCGCUGCGACGUCCCGAUCGACACUCUUUACCUUGAAUAUCAACCGGAACCCCGCAAGGCUUUAAUAUUAGUUUCUCAUUUCCCUUGUGAGCAACCAUUGUCAAAUAUCGUGUUCUAAAAAAUUUUAAGCUAUUUCCAACUUAAAACAAAUAAAAUAUUAAUUUUCAUCUCACAAGGGUAUUUUGGUCAUUUUUCCAAAAAUUUUGAAACCAGCCAAUAAUGUAGUAUAUAAGUGCAGAACACAUAUUUCAAAAUCAAAAAUAAAUUUAGAUGUCUAAAACAUUCGUUUAAAACGAAAUUAUGAUUAUUUGGAUAUAAUAAGACAAUAAAAUAAAUAUUAAGUAAAAUAUUAUAUUUUCUUAUGAAACAAUAUUUUUAGAGUUAUACGUAAAUAAUUUUUAUAGCGUAAAAGUUAAAUAAAUUCAUACAUACUGUAAUACAGUAAGUCAAAGUAUUUAAUUUAAUUUACAAUAAUAAGUGGGCCCCCGAAUAAACAAAAGUAAAGAGGACUGCGAACUUAUAGUUUGAAAAAUACAGAUCCAACGGUAGUCCUCGAUGAGAUCAGCUAUCUACAGUCUAUACUGAACCUGAAAUGGAUGGAAAUGAGGGUGGUGAGAUUAUAAAAUUCCAAUGAGUAAACAGACAUCAUCAUAAACAUCUAGAGUUGAGUACAUGAAGACAAUAAAGUAAAUCAUGUAAACUGGGUCACAGUAUUAGAACACAUUUCAUUUAAAAUACGUGAAGAGGCUUAUGAAUCACAUAAAAACUAGGCUUGUGCCAUAAAUUCAUUCUCAGGGACACCUUGGCCGAGGCAUCCUACCGAGACCGCCAAGGUUGUUAAAAAUGCACAUUUCGCAUAAAUCAUACUUUUAUUUUGAAACAUAGUCGUUCCUUGGCGUUGGCUGAGUUCCCCCUCACGUGGUGGUUUGGCAUGAAGUGAACCCUAAGCUUUACCCCAGGAGAUACCCUAUGCGCCUCUCCGUUCGAGGUAAGAAUAUAAUGGGAUUUACUAUGCCCCUCAAAAAGGCUGGUCCAUAGAAACCCUCUACUGCAGUGAUUAAUUAAUAUAUAAUCCACCAUAUAAUAAAAUUUUGACGGCAUGACAGGGCUAAUGAAAUACUACCCAGCUUGCAAGGGAAAAAUAAAACAAUUCAUACAAUUCAUAAAACACAACCUAGCCAAUCAUGCCAACACAAUACCAAUAUAACAUAAGUCAUCAAUUUAAACAAUCUAAUUGUCACAAUUAACAGUCUCCGUGUACUCUAUUUUUCAAAUCAUUAUUAAUUUCAAAAUAUUUUAUAAAUUAAUUUCAUUAGAAAACUUUUAUUCAUAAAACAUGAAAAUUUACCUUUUAAAAAUCCAUUUUUCCAUAGAAUUCAUGAUAUCAUAUAAAAACCACCCUAGAUACUUAAAAUGAAAAUAAGUUUACUAACAAUGUCUAGAAUGCAAACUUUCGAAGUACUCUGUCUACUGGUCCUCGGAUGCAAUUUCCUUGCCUUUAUCGGAAGACUCACUACCCUGACACGGUAAUAAAUUGAGAAAUUCACCACAUUGAUACUAAAUUGAAAUUAAACUAAUUUAGGCUAUUAAUGCAUGAUAUGGAAUGCAAAAAAGUCCGAAUAGCCGUUUAAAUACGGUAUUCGACCUAAUUCGCACUAUUCUCAGUCUAAUCGGCUAAAAUCUUCAAUUUAACUCCAAAUCGAUUCUUUUCACUUUCUACACUCCAAUUAUACCUAAAUUACCUCAGUAACUGUGAAUGAGGUUCAAUUUAUCGGUCUCGAGUCAAUAAUUAUACAUGUCUAUAUGUUGAGCAAAAAUUCGUAUUUUCACACCAAAAUUUCCCAUUUAAUUUCUAGCCUCACCAAACGUCAAAUAUCACCAAAAUAUCAUGAAAUAUCAUCAAAUUCAGCCACAAUAUUCUCCCUAGGAAAUUCGGCCAAUGAUGGUAAUGGGGGAAAAUGAAUUCUUUUCUUGUUGUUUUGUUUCUAAAUAUGCUAAACUAACUUAAAACACUAACAUAACUUAAAAUCAAAUCAAUCUAACUUCAUUCGCUCUCCAUACCCAUUUGAACAGCCAUGAAUUCACCAUGAAAACAUGAAAUCUAACCAUGGAAAAUAAGGAGAAAAGCAUGGGAAAGGUAGAUCACAAGUCAAAAUCAAGAAAUUUUACCUUUGAUUACUUGAUUCCUUGAAAUCCAACACUUUUUUUUUAAUUUUCCCACCUAGGUUUCUUGUUUUUCUUUUUCUCUCUUUGUUCUUACUAUGGGCGGCC
rnacentral:lncRNA from 1 species